UGGCUCAAGGCUUUGAGACUUGUAAUUGGUCUAGCUUCCCUCAACAACAAAACUUUGAGUCUCCACAAUGGUUUUGUAGUAGUUCUAUGGCUUAUGAUGACUGUAGAACUUCAAGCACAGCUCAGUUGGAUGCGAAUUUUGCAGACAGAAAUCCCUUCUUCGGUUUUCCAAGCAUGGAGAUGCAUGGAGCUAACCGUUUCUGCAGAUAAAAAAAGCUUCUUCAAGAAAGUACGAAUAGCUGCAGAGAUUCAUGUUGCUUGCUUUUUGAAGGGAUACGAAAAAUUUUGGUGCACCAGAGAAAUUGUACUUAGUUGGAUGCGAUCAUGCUUAACACUAACGCGUUACGACGAGAAAUGAAGGGCAAAAUUCAUUUUUGGUUUUGGUGACUUGUGUUGUUGCAGGCAAGAAACAAUGUGCCAUGCUGCAACAUCUCUUGUGAUGAGAUGUUUUUUCUUCCAUUUUCUGUAAAUAUAAGUUCUUGAAUGGGGUUUCAAGAAUUUGUAGUUUUACUUUGAAUGAGAUUGUGGAGAAACAUUAUGCAUGAGAAAUCUUGAUUUUGUGUAGUGUUAUUAUUGACAAUGCGUCUGUUCCAGUUCAUUAAAUGUUGUGUUGGGAUCAAUCACUUACCGUUAUGGUUAUCAUUGACAACUUUAUAACAAGCAUCAUGUUUAAUCAUGGCUUUGACCAGCCAAAUCGCUGUGAAUUCAUUAGCCGGCUGCGCCCAUAGAGACUUGGUGUAAUGGGCCAAUUGUUACAGCAAUGUAUAUGACAUACACAUUUGGCCCAAGACACAACUUCCAAGUACAUCCUAGAAUAGCCAUAGCCCAUACUACAUACUUCUCUUAAUCAUGAUGAUAUUCUGCUUUGCUUAUUUUCUUACUGUGAAUUGUCCUUUAACGCUAGUUUGAUCAACGAAGGAAGUACAUUAUAUCCUAACACAUCCCUUCAUGUGUUACAUGUUAGACGUCAAGAAGCUCUUUUAACAUUCUGGGUACGAUGAAAUUUGAAUUCGAAAGCAUCUGGUUUUUAUGUUGAAGGUGAAAAUCACAUAAAAUGAUACAUGUAUAAUGUACACGAACUUUAAGACUUUUAACUAUCCAAUGCAUCAUCUCUUCAUUUUUUUUUUUUAAAUCUUAGUUGGAUUCUAGUGUAUUCUAGUUGACUAUAUUGAUUUCAAAGUAGUCCACAAAAGCAACACGUUUCCACCCAUACUUGAAAUUACUAGACCCCAAUUGAUUGCCCAACCUUACAAGUUAAAUCAAUUCUCAACUUACGUUUCAAAACAUAAAACUUUGGGAAGAGUUUAUAGAUUUCUAAGUUGUCAUAAAUAUGAUCAUAAACUUGACAUCAAAUUAUAAUAAUAUUAAUUUUAAAUAUUGAUAGUGUACAAGUAGGUCUUUUAAAACUAUACAAAACUUGAACUCAAAUCUUACGUGGAAAAAUGUGUGUAUACACAUAAAAUCAUGUGCGUUCGAGUUAGAAUUGAAGAAUUUUUAUGUUCAGCUUUUAUAUAGUUAAAGGCCUACUUAUGCACCAGCAAAAUUAAAGGUCAUUGAUCGGAGUGGAUGACUAAUCCAUUUAGGCGCAAGUGAGGUAAAAUCGGAUUGUUUAUUUGUUCAGAUUUUGUAUAGUUAAAGGGCCUACUUGUAAACUAUCAUAAUUUAAGGUCAGUGCCAUAAUUUGAUGUCAAGUUUAGACUUAUAUUUAUGUAUUAUGCCUUCUAAGUUAAUGCAUGAUAUCAUAAUGAUAUAUGCUUGAUUUAUGAUUUAAGUUUCUUGAUUCCAAUAAUACUUGGAUAAAUAAGUAAAAAGGUAAGGAAUAAAUUAUAUUCCUUUUAAAUUGCAAGCAUUUUCUACUUUUGAGUAGGAUUGGAGAAAAGGAAAGUCUCACCUGCACCAAAGAAUAUUAUAACAUUCACUUUGACUUAACUAAAUCAAAUUUUUUUUUGCAAUAAUUGCCACUUCUCUACACACAAGAUACUAGACCAAAGUAUUAAACACCUUUUAAAAAGGGUAAAAUUAUUGAAAGCAUACAUGCUUCUUAGAUGUACAAAGUGUGUUUAUUUAUAAUUAAUCAAAACAAAAUUGAGUAAAUGGUAUUAAAUUAAAAUUAAUUCAACUCCUAAUAGAUUAAAAUAUAGAAAAGGAGUCCAAUGGUGGGGACACAAAUUGGAGCAUCCACAUGCAAUUUGUAAAUUGGCUUCUUGAUUAAGCCAAUAAAUACCAUACAUAGAAGAGACACCUCCUCAACAAACUCUUCUAUAAUAGUAAUUUUAAGAACCCCUCCCAUGGCGGAACCUAAAUUUUCAUAACAUUAUAAAUAAAAAGUAAUUUUAAUUAUAUAUAAAUAAUAUAAUUUUCUAUCAAAGGAGAUUUGGAUGAACCAUCAUCAAAGGGUAGCUCUGUCCCUGCCUCUGACCCCACCCAGGGGCGGAGCCACCAUUCAUGUUCAGUAGUAGAUGUCGAAGAGAACCCCUUCAUAUAGUUUAUAUAUUUACUUCUGAAUCCUUCGAUAAAAAUUAUGACUCACUACUGGCCCACCCCAAGAAGGAAAAAAACUCAAAACCAACAACUUAAAUUCCAUUCUCUUGCCACUUCCAUGCAAUAUUUUCAAUAGUGUAACAAACAAACUCUCUCAUUUCUCUUGACACUUCCCUUUCCUUUACUUUCCUUUUUCCUUUCAUUUCCCACUACUUAACAUACUAUUGUUGUCACAUACACACCCAUCAAAAACCAAUUUUUCUUCUAAGGAAGAAGCAAAAGAAAGAAAUUCACACUUCUAUCAACAACUCAAGAUUUUUCACCAAACAGACAUGUCAUGGUUCGUGAUUUUUCUCUUAUUUUUCGUGGUGUCCAUACAAAUAACCAAUGGAUUGAAUCCACGAAAACUAGAUGAGGGUGAGAACAAGUGUGGAGGUUGUCCAUGUAACAAACCAUGUAAUCCACCUUCACCACCACCACCAUCACCACCACCACCAUCACCACCACCACCAAAGUCGAAACCGCCAAGUGGCUACAACUGCCCUCCUCCUCCUCCUUAUUCCGGCGGCGGCGGUGGUGGUGAUCAAGAUGUUCCUUAUCCUCCAAAUUCACAAUACAUAUACAUGACUGGUCCACCUGGGGAUUUGUACCCCGUUGACCAUAACGUUAAUAGUGCAAAAAAGAGCUUUACUACUGAAUUUUCACUUUUGAUUGGUGGAUUCUUCUUGGGAUUGCUUUAUUUUUGGUGAAAUUCAACAUCAAAUCAAAUUUUAUGAGUAAAAAAUAAGUGGAAGAAGCAGCAAAUUUCAGAGACCAAAAGUUAAGUGUGGGUAUAAAUAUUCUAUAUAUAUAUUAGGUUGGUCCUUAAUUAUAAUUAGCUGUAAUCUUGAUAUAUUCAUGUUGUUUCAUUUAGUUCCAAUAACUACCUUAUAAAUUUUCUUCCACUUUUUGUUUUUUGUAAAAUUAAUUGUGAAUCCAUUGUCAAGAGACAUGUUAUCAAUCGUCUGUUCAAAGUUAUUUUCUUGUACUUUUUUUUCUUUGAGAAUAUAUCAUAAUCUCUUGUGGGAAUAAAAUAAAUUAAAAUAAUUAUUUUAGUGGUAUUGAGUCCUCAAAUUCAGUGAAGAAUAUAAUUUAGUGUCUAUUUUUAAAUUUAUGAAAUUUCAAGUGCAUUGAUUAGAAAAGUCUCUGUUUUUGCUCGUUUUAGGGUCCAUUAUUUGGUUAGGCAGUGAUAAGCAAUUGUCAUGGCGUAUAUAUGUGGCAACAUCACCUUCAUAUAUAAUUUGUUUUUUAUUAAAUAAUUACGUUAUUCGGAUCAAUUUGUAUGCAUUUUAACUAUUAUUACACUAAAUAUUAGUAAUCCAAUUAUUACACUAAAUAUUAGUAAUCCACUAUUAGCAUAGUUGACGAGGUGGUAUUAUAUAUAUUUAAUUUCAUUUAGGCAAAAUGACAAGAGAUUACGUAACUUGCUAGUAUUUUUUAAAAUUUAUAAUCUCUUAUAAAUUUUAUUUGCCUUGUUGAUCAUUAGAUUACACCCUUCAGUGUUUAAUAUUGGUUAUUGAUGAUUACUUAAAUAUUUGUUUAUAAAAAAGAUUGCGAAAACAAAUGUUUAAUUAGCACUUUGGAGGUGGGGGUCUAAAUCAAACAAAGAUAUAAUAAUUAUUUAUUGCAAUAUGGAAAAACCACUAUAUAUUGGGUUUGACACGUUUAAUUAAUUCGUUAAUUAUGCAGAAAGUAUUGGGGAUUUUUGUGUAAAUUGUUAAAUAAGUGCUACUACAAGUAUAUAUCUUAAUAUUAAUAUUAAUUUUAAUGAAAAAAAUGAAAAUGUUCAGAACUUCCUCAUCCCAUUGUCACAUAACAACGACAAAAUAUGGAGUCCGGAGUCAAAAGAGCUAAUUUUUUUAAUUAAAAAUUUCAAGGAAAUACUUAAUUUGAAAAGAAAUUAAAGGGAAUAAAACACCGGUGGUUGAGCGAUUUGCAAAUUGCUUAGUGUCUAGCGGUUUGCAAAUCGUUUGGUGUCCAGCGAUUUGUAAGUCGCUCGAUGUUCAGCGAUUUGCAACUCACUUAAGGUCUUAACGAUUUGCAUGGAUUUUUUUUUGCAUUAUUUAAGUAGUUUUUUGUUGUGAGUUAUUCAUUUCAGCUCGCUCUACACUUCCGUUUCAGUUAUUCUCGUUUCAAUUUGAAUAUUUUACUCUUAUUUCAACUUACUUUCAUUUUUUUUUGUAUUAAAAAUAAAUCACGAUAUAAUAAGAACAAUUUUAUAUUAAGAUGGUAAAUUUAAUAUGAAGUUAGUUCUGUGAUAUAUAAUCGACGGUCUAUAGUUAUAUAAAUAUUUUUAUUAUCUCUUAAAUGUAAGUACUAAAAAAACAAAAUAAAUAUAAAUUUUUCAAAGAUCAACUAGAACAUGCAUACCAACUUAUUAUUUUCAUGAGAAAGAAAUGAAUAAAAAGGUCCUAAUAGUUGUUUUACCACAAAGAUUUUAUUAUAUGUCAGAAAUAAAAAGUACUAAAGUGGGGAAAACGAAAUCAACUUUGGUUUCACAAAUUCUAGAAUCCACUUUAUCUCCUAUUAAAUUCCAUGGUCCCAAAAGUUAUAGUACAAUAAACUUUUUUUGAAGUUUCAAUUUUAGCACAAAGUUUUAAUUAGGUGUCCAUCUAUCAUUCAUUGAAUAUUAAGACUUGUUAGAGUUGAAUUUGUCCACUUGUGUGAAUAUAAUUUUUCCACUUUAGUUGCUUACUAAACCCAUGUGCUGUUGUUGGUUUAGAUUUUAAUUUUCAUCAGAAAAAAAAAAUGUUUUUUAGGCCAGGGGUUUAUAUUUAUUUAAAGUUUAAGUAAUUUAAAUUUGAGUCACUUAAAGACCUAUUAAGGAUAAAGUACUGCUUCAUAUUUACUUAUAAUUUUUGUUUUCAUUUUUAAUUAUUUCAGAGAGAAAUAUAUAUCAAUGGAUUAUAUAUUAAGAGCUGAAUAAUGGACAGAAAGAACAAUAUAGUAUUAUUAUGGAUAACUACAAGUUUUGAUUUGACGUGAAACAAAUGGACAUGCAUAUGUAACAUGAUUACUCACCUAUGAUGUGUCAAUUUGUCCCACUUUAGAAGAUGAUAAAAAUAGAUCUUUAUAUUUACAAUUUUUUUAAAAUUAAGUAGUCCUUCGAUUGUAUGUAUAGGCUUCUUUUAUUAAUUAGAAGAUUUUUUUUUUUUAAAGUGAAUGAAACUGCUCCUCCGAUUUCUUAAUUGGAGGUUUUAGAUUCGACUCUUAAAUAUAAAAAAAUCUUUGAUAGGGAGCGUUAUUUCUCGAAUGGGACACGAUUCGAUAUGAAUUUAAAUUACUCGAGUUUCAUGCGGGUAUCAAAUACCGAAUAAAAAUAAAAAAAAGAAUCUCUUUUUUUUCUCUUUUUCCACCACUUUGUAGGAAAGUUCCACUUUUUCUUUCAUUUGUUGGCUUGAAGAAAAAAAAAGGUUAUAAUAUACAUAUUCUACCUUUAGGAGAAUUUUCCAGCUUGUUGCAUAAAGACUUGACACUUUAUAUUAUUUCUGAAUGAAAUGAGUUUGCUCAUUAGUUGGUUGUCUACAACCCAAAACAACAAAUUAGCAUGACCAUUCUAAAAGUAUUAUAACCUUAAAAAUGGUUAAUGGUAUAUCGUAUUUUUCAAAAAUAAUCGAAAAGUGGACAGUAAAUGCUAUUUUUAUAAAACGUAAAUGAUAACAAAAAAUAGUUUUAAUCGAGGUAUUAAAAUUUAAAAUGAAAAGGGUCCUCAACUCACUUAAUCCUUCACUUUAUAUGCAUAACAAUAACAAUAACAAUAUAUAUAUAUAUAUAUAUAUAUGCACCUAUUCAAGGGCAGAAGUAGAGGAGAAAAUCACAUUAUGUAUAAAAAGUUUAAAACAAAGAUUUAUACAUGUAUAAUAUGUGAAUCUAGUUUCUUCUACUAUAUUUUUCUUCUCAUAGAAAAGUUUAUUUUCCAUUAAUGUUAAUAUUCUAUAUAUUGUAUAUCCCUUUGUAAUAGGUUAAUUGGAUAAGUUGGAUGAAUCAUAUAUCCUAGUGAUAAGAGAAUAAAACAAAGAUGAGAAGACAUGUCAACAAACGUUUGAACCUUAGGCUUGUAAUGUGCUUUAUGCUAAUUGGUACUUAAUAAUAAAUAAACUGAUAAACUUGAAAGUUUUUGGACAUAUUUUGAGUUUUAUUCCUUUGAAGAACUUCAUCGUGCCUUCCUUUUUCCUUUUGGCCCACAUAUCUCUAUCAUUAGGAAACCUCUCAUAAAUCAAUAAUCAAUAAAAUCAAGUAUAUAUAUCAACCGCUACCACUAAUCCUACUUGAAACGGGUGUGGUAGGAUGAAUAAAAUUUCUUUUAUAUUUUUAAUUAAAUGAUCUUAAAUUUGGAUUUUAAGAAAAAAAAAAAAAUCAAUGUCAGAAUUAACAAGAUGUAUUUUCAAGAUUUUAGUAUACAGACAUAUUUUUUGUUUGUUUAACUGAUGAAAUGAUGAUAGCAAGCGAUGAAAAAAAAGAGUAGAGAGUUCUGAACUUGAGAAUUUAGAGGAUGCAAAAUUAAUAAGAUUAGAAGCCGCUAGGAUUAUUUCAUCAAUUAUUUUUAAUGAACUUAUGUGAUAUGAAUUUGAAUUAAUUGAUAUUGUAAAUAUCAAAAUAGUCCAGUAGAUGAUUAUAGAAGAAAAAAAGAAACACAUGCCCAACUUUUCCAAUUUCCCUUGCGUGUGAAAUAAUUCAAUUCUUGAUUAGUCAAGGCUCUCUAUUUUCUUUUUCACAUUUACUUAUUAUUACAGUUGGUAGAAAAUUGUCAUGCACUUACUAUUUUUCUCUGUCCACCUUUGUAUAUUGUAAUCAUCAUAAUCAAUGUAUUAUAAUAAGAGCAUGACGUUUUUUGCUUUUAUUUGCUUUGAAUAUCAAAAUGUAAAAUAAUUUGAAGUCACCUUGGCUAGGAACACACUCCAUCAAAAUAUUUUUUUCUAUAUGAAUUCAGAUACUAAUUAAGAUUAUUAAGCUCCAAAACUAAUAUCAAUCAAUUUUUCAAAAAAUAACAUUGAGUCCUUUAUAGAUGGAGGGGAUUGGGAUUUGACAAUUGCAUGAUGAUGAUUUUUUUUUUCCCGAACUAUUUCUACAAUCGACAGUCAUGAGACUAAUUCUUCGUUCUACUGUCAGUACACUAAGCGGUAGGGAACUGGCUAAAGAUUGGGAUUUGACAAUUGCAUGAUGAUGAUGUUUUUUUUCCCGAACUAUUUCCACAACCGGCAGUCAUGAGACUAAUUCUUCGUUCCACUGUCAGUGCACUAAGCGGUAGGGAACUGGCUAAAGAGUUUUCUCUGUUCACCAGGGAUGGGAAUCGAACCUCCAACCUCUUGCUUAAGGGGUGAGGUGCUGAACCACCACACCAACCCUUGUGGUUAAUGAUUUUCAUUUUCAAGAUAAAUACAGAUAGUAGCAACGUGGAAAUUUACAAUUCAAUUUCAAGAUCCAAAAUAUUAUUUCAAAUCUCGAGUAAUAACUUUGAAUUCUCAAUUUUAAUUAUUAUUUUAUUAUCAUUAUUAAUUAAAGUGAAUGGAGUACAUCAUGAAUUAGGAAAAAGUCUUCUUUCUUGAGAAAUUUCUAACUUUAAUAUGUGUGUCCCCUCCCUAUUUUCCUAGCUUGUUGCUUUCUAUCAUUUACAAAAUGGGUUGGCAAAUUUGUUUGGUUUUAUUUAGGAUAAAAGUGAGUCACAAAGUAAUACUAUAAUUUAACAAUGUAGGUAGAAGGUAGAUAAGGAUGUGGUGCAGUGAAUGGGGUUGCUCCUUCCUUAAUUAGAGGUUUCGGAUUCGAGUCCUGAGUAUGGUAGAAUCCUUGAUAGGGAGCGUUUUCUCCUGAAUGGAGCCCUACGCGGCGCGAAUCCGAAUUAAUCAAACUCUAAUACGAAUACCGAACACUGAAUUGAAAAAAAAGAAGGUAGAUAAUGUUAUAUUUAGUCUAUAUCAAGUAAAUUUUGUGAAUAAUUAAGCAAUAUAGGUAAAAUUUGUUCAUGUGGUAAAACUUAUAUAUACUUUAACAAAAUAGGUAGAAUAAAAUAGUAUCAAGUUUUAUUUAUCUAUCAAAAUUUGUGAAUAAUUAAACAACAAUAAUAAAAUUAUUUGUGAGUUUGAUCAUAUUGAGACCACCAGAGAUUGAUGAAAACAUCCUAUCACCUAAUCUUAUCAUCAAAAUUUAUCUUAUUAUUAGCUACUUAUUCACCAAAAAGAUACUACUUUCUUAAUAAAUUCUUAUUAUAAAAUUACUUGAGCCACCUAACAUUAUUCCACCUAAUUAAAUUAUCAUCAAAAGACAUAAAUAUAAAGUGGCCUAAAACACACUUGCUUUUGUUCCAUACUUUUUCAUCUUUUUGCCUCUUCCCUUCAUCUUAAGCAAACAAUUUCCACUUCAUUCCUUAAUUCUUUUUUUUUUUCUUCCACUUCUUUCUACAAUAUUUUGGGAGAAAAAAAAUUGUCUAUCUUUCUCCCCAAAAUAAAAAAUAAAUUCUACUUCAUUUCCUUAAUAUCCCUUGGUUGAUUUUUUGUUUUGUAUAAGGAAAAUAAAGAAGGAAAUUACAAGGUAAAAAAAUUAGAUCUUCAUUAAUAUAAUAAAAAUUCAGCUAACUAAUUGAGCUCCUAAAAUUCGUUAAACAAAUAAUUUCUCUUUUUUCCUUCUUUAGAAAAGGAAAACAAUCAUCAUACCCUUUGUCAUUUUCCCUAUUUUGUUUCCUUUUUUUUUGAGUUUCUCAUCUGAUGUUCGAUAUUUAUAUUAAAAUCUGAUUAAUUUAAAUUGUAUCAAAUAAGAUUCCAUUCAAAAAUAGUGUUCUCUAAUCUCUAUAAAAAAAAUUCAUAUUCAAAACUCAAAUCCGAGAUCUUUACUUAAGAAAGUAGUAGUCUGAUCAUCCAUGCACUACAACACAUGCAUACUUUGUUUAUUCCUUUGUAUGUUUCUCUAAAAGGACCCCCCAUAAACUCAAAACCUCUACUUCAUUUUCUUAAUACACCUUUUUUCUCAUUUUUCCUCUUCUUUUUUUCCCUUCCUUUUCUCCCACAACUCAAAAAAAAAAAAAAAAAACAUGUGUUCAAAAUUCACACAACUACUAUACUUUCUUCCACUUGUAAUAUUACUCCUCAACUUUCCUUCAAGAAUCAUAAGCCAAGAGUGUGCUUAUCCAUGUUAUCCACCACCAACUGGCCCUACUGGAAACAACCCUCCACCAGCAACCACCACCCCACCCACCCCACCUACUCCACCCCAAGGAGGGUAUGUCCCAAACACCCCACCCACCCCACAAGGUGGUGGUUAUGACCCAUAUCUUAACCCACCACCUGAUUUUGUUAAUGGUAUAGCACCACCACCACUAGAACCAAUUGUGCCUUGGUUUCCUUAUUAUUAUAGAAAGCCUCCUCACUCCGAUCAAGUUUCAUCAUCAUCAUCAAGAAUAACCAGCUGGAAGAACAUCAUGAUGAUUGUUACUAGUACUGCUCUCUCUGUGAUUUUGCUUUUUUAGCAGGUUUUUUAAAUGUUUAUGAGUGAACUUUUGAUGUAAUUAAUAGUAGACAAAAGUUGUUGUUAGGAUUUUUAAUGUCUCAUUAGUUAUCAUCAGUUUCAUUUUCUACUCUUGUGUAUUGAUUUUUAUGUGAAUGGAGUUCCUCUCUUUCUUGAUUAUGAUGUGCAGAAAAAGGUUAACUCUUUUUUUUUUUUUUAAUAACAAAUGGAUGAAUUAUUUUGUUUUCACACAAAAGUGAAAUUUUGAUGGAGCGGUAAAUAUUAUUACUUUUUUUUAAUUACAGGUUUUGAGCUUAAAUUUUAAAAAAAUAUAAUUAUUUUUGAGAUGGAUUGUGAGCUUUAAUUUUUUUAAUGUAACGAUCAAUUAAUAUGAGAGGGAGGAAGGUAAUUAGUUUGUGUUCUCCAUCGUUUUUCAUUUAUUGUAUUUUUCCUAAAAAACUUAAUUCUACUUGAUGAUAUAUUUUUUUUUGUGUUGUAUUUACUAUAAGGAGGAAUAUUCUGGAUCCUUUACACAUACAAAUAUUUGGACCCUUCUAGUAAUUAAUGAGGUCAAUAUAGGCUGCUUCUCUCUUUUUUCUUUGUAUAACUAUUAUUAGUUAUUACUAUAACAUAUAUUACACAUUGGCGUGAUUAAUUUGAAUACAUUCUAGAUGAGAAAACAUUUUUGAUAACAUCCAAGUCGAGCACAAAAUAAUAAAAUAAAUUUUGUGAUCGAUUUUUUUAGAUAAAGCUUUUUUUUUUUCUUAAAUAAACUUUUUGAUUCUCAAAUUUAGACUCGACAUCUUUGAUUAAUAACACAUGAAUCUCAUCAAUCUUAUUGCAUUUUUUUUUGUUGGUUGUGAUAGUGAAAAUAUGAGGUUAUACAAAAUCAUAACAACCACCUAAUUUUGAUCUCUCUUUUGAACAAGUAGCUUCUCCUUUCUCAUCAUUUUUUCUUUUAUGAUAGCCAACUUUUUCCUUUUUUAUUUCUCCAAUCACACCACCAUUUUGUUGUUUUUUCUCUCUUUUUUCUUGGAAUGUCUAUGGAAAAUGAUUUUUUUUUCUCUAAAAGGUAAGGGUAAUGUUGCAUUAAUUUUAUUCUUUUUAAACAUCACUUACGAAAUCAUACUGAAUAUAUUGUUGUUGUUAUUCUUUUUCCUUUUAAAUCUCUCCGACGACACCAUUUUUUUUUCUUUUUCACCUUUUUCUUGGAAUGUCUAUUGAAAAUGGUUUUUUUAUCUCUAAAUGGUAAAAGUAAAGCUGCAUACUUUUUAUUCUUUCCAAACAUUGCUUAUGAAAUCAUACUGAAUAUGUUGUUUUUUGGUUUAUUUUGUGAUUUGUUUAGGUGCAAGAACUAAGGACAAGUAACCUUCUACAAUAUAUUAAAUUAUAUAAUUUCAUUUAACACAAUUAAUAGAUGAAAGUUGAACCAUUUUUAAAAAUAAAAUAUAACUUAUAUACAUUGACAGUCAACCAUUUUUAAUUUCUUUCCCUUUUCUCCUCUCUGUAAUGAGAAGUGGGAAAUUAAUGGAUGAAAAAAAAUAAACACAAAUUAACAGGCAGGCUGUGAGUGAUUUAUAUUGGCCAUUUAAAGAGAGUGAUAUUUUGUUUGGUAGCUUAAGAUGUUAAAAGGUCACAAUCAUAUAACAUAUUUGAUAUUUUUUCUCUAUGAUUUGUAAUUAACUAAAGACUUCGACAGAUUAGCAAGUAUAUUAUGAUGUUAAUAUCAAAUUAUGGCAUGAAUUGAUUCGAUGAUUUGUAUGUGAUGGUGACUCUUAUGUAAUUAAGUGAUCAAAAUAAGUUAAUAGAAUAUUAUAAAGUACAUGUAUUUAUUUAAUUAGAAGAAAUGAAAUGAUUGGCUGUGCUUUAGUGAUUAAUCUUUAUGAGAGAUACAAAUCAACUACCAACAAUGGUGGUCUUAUUAUUCUAAGGGAUCGUUUGGUAGAAAAAUAAGUUAUAUAAGGAUUAGUAAUACAGGAAUUACUAAUGCAUGGAUUAUUUUUUUAUCAAGCGUUUGAUUCAUUGUGUUAAAAACUAGAUAUACCAUGGAUUAUGGUUGGUUUAAUAUUCUACAAAUAUCUUUUUUACAUUUUUAUCCUUGAUCUUUUUGUGGAUUUUCUAUUUCAUUUAACUUGAUAUCUUAAAAAUUAAAAUAUGAAUAGUUCAAGUGCUUAAAGUGCAUAGACCCCUCGUCAAAUAAUUUAUGGACGUCUAUCACAUCAUGAAAUGAGACAUUAUCAUUCAAACAAUUGUUGGAACCUCAUAUACCCUUUUCUUUUAAUCUGCCACUGUCCAUCUUUGAAGUCAUUUGUUUUGGGUUUUUUUUCGGUCAAGUGUAAUUUUAUUACAUUUAACUAAUUCUUCAACGAAACAAACAUACGAAAUGUAUGGCUGGCAUGUCCUGCUUGAUGCAUCAGCAUUGGGUCCUAAAGACAUGAAAACAUUAGGCCUAUCGAUCUUUCAGCCUGAUUUUCUUAUUUGCCAUCCAUCAGAAACACUUAACACUUCAAAUUAAAGUGAGAACAUAUAUCGCGUAAAAGAUGUGUAAGUGAUGAAGGAAAAAUAGUUGAAUCAUAAUCGCGCAAGGUAGGUUGCAUACAUCAUACCCUUCUCAAAAUGCAGCGCUACGAUGUAUCCUGCGUGAAUGAAAGAUGCUUCUGCACCGACCGAGAGCAGCAAGAAGUUUCUUCAGCUCGGGCAUACACUACGAAUAACACUUAUCUGCACUAGAUAGAUAUUUAUACGAAACCAACCAUCUAACUUUAAUGCUUCAAAUUAAAAUGAGAACAUAUAUCGCGUAAAACAUGUGUAAGUGAUGGAAGGAAAAAUAGUUGAAUCAUAAUCGCACUAGAGUAGGUUGCCUACAUCAUACUCUCCGUAAUCACCAAAAUUUGUGAAGGUAAACUGAAUAAGACCUCCCAAAAAUUUAGAUGUCCACGAGCCGUGAUGAACAGAGUUACCCGGUACCUCUACUAAUCCUGUAGAAUUACUCGAGGCGCGUGCAUGAACACUUUAGUAGAAUUACUCGAGGAGUAACUUUACCCUCUUACUAAGAUCCUUCAUAACAUCUACAAUGAGUGACUUCUUUUGUAUUCUGAACUGGAGAGCUAACACAGUAGUAGGAGAAACAUUUUGCUUCAGCGAUUACACACAAUGCUACAACAGUGCGAACUUAGGCAUAGAAAGCAAUAACCUUGUUCGCACCUACAUAGCUAUCGAGUGUGUCCUGUAAAGGAACUUGUGCAAUUGGAUUCAACUGGAAGAACUUGGUUGUUUUGUUUGAGACACUCAAUAGUCAAUACCAAAUUCCUAUCGAGUUCAACAUGUACCAUAGCAUACUCUACAACAGGAAGUGUCGUGAAGGCAAUGUCCUGUGCAUCUGGUAAGUGUGAAAAAGGAGUCAUGGCUUUAGACUUUGGAAUAUAAUGAAAUGCUAAAGCUGAACGGUCAUAAGCUCUAAAUAUAGAGAGUCAGAAUAAAAGCCUCUUCAAACUCUAGUACGAAAACGAGAUCAGCAAUAACCGCAACAUAAUUCUCUCCAAAUUAUUCUGUGCAAGUCUUCUACUGUCCCCAAUAAUGAACUUCUAGCAUAAUAUUGAAAUGGGACCUUUCAAUCAGUCCCAAAACUUAAGCAAAUACACCAACUGACAAAAGAUAUACUAUGCAAACUUAAUAAUUACAUUUACAUACAUCAUUUGAGUUUAUCACCAGUGCCACCACAUUCAAGUUUUUCCGUAGAUGCUAGUUAUACAAAAACUAUGAUCCUUGAGCCCAUACACCAAGCGUAGUCAUAGACAAGAUAGGACGUACUCCGACGUAUCAAAAAAAUCACACUACAAUUAACCUUCGGAGGUUUUCAGUUAAGCAAAAACUAUCAAAAUAGAGCCAUCACUUAUACACACAUCUACCAAACUCUAAAAAUUAUCAUUGAUAAUCAUAAACAUCAUCGUCUGACGUUCAAGUUCACCCAUACGAAUGAACAAUUCCAUCUUUUUGACAUCAUCACAAAGGACCAUUGUUGCUUUGAUGCGUUGCUCGGUUGAGUACAACUCAAAUAUGGGAGACUCAAUGAUGGAAUAAAUUUGACUACGAAGAUCGGAUUUCAUUCGUUUGUGUAAAACCUUUUAUAACCUCCAUCAUACCUUUAAGAAAUGUCUCAUUAUCAUUCUCCAAGCUUUUUUUCCUUUUCUUGCAUUUCUCCUUUUCAUUGACAUUAGAUGACCUUCUAGUGUACUCAUCUUGUUUGUUGGCUUGUUGGGAUCCAGCUUCAAAUGCUCCAGCAUUUUCAUUUUCAGAUGCUCCAGUAAAUGCAGUAGGUCCAGUAUCAUUUUCAGGUUCUCCAGUAGCUGCAUUUGGUUUAUGGCUAGCAUCUUCCUCUUCAUCUCCAUCCACAUCAAUAGGAAAUCCCAAAGUCAUGACAUUAAAAAGUUCUGGACAUUGAUUCCUUUGAAUUUCCUCAGCGGCAUCUAGCGGUCCUUUGGCAAACUCUCCCGUUGCUCUAUCCUUUCCAAAGAUUUCCUCCCAAUCCUCAAACAUCGGCCAUUUUUUGGUGUUCAUAUUCUUGGCAUUUGGAUCAAUCUAGAAAAUAAUCAUUAAGAAAAUGCCAAAGUAAUGUAAUAUUAUUCAGUUAACUCACUCAAAAAACAUAUAUAAAGACAAAACUCACUUCAUGGACAACUAAGAAGAACUCUUACAUUAGGAAAGUAUAAUUUGUGUAAUCUGUUAUCUUUGAAAAAUCAAGUUUAUUCGGCACAACAUUUCACUAUUCCAGGUUAUUAAUGCUCAUUAUAAGAGAUAUGCUUGGACCGAUACUAAUACUAUAUCAAGAAAUAUUUUUGAUGGCCCGAGGCAGGGUGUGCACUCCCAAAACUGUAGGUGGCUUGAGCCUCAUCAACAUUCAACUAUAAAAUAAGAUAGCUACAGCUAAGACUUUCUGGAAUUGAGAGAAUAAGUUAUGGAUUUGAUGAAUUCACUCCUAUUAAAUAGCUUUUAAAGUUGAGACUGCAACAAUUCAUUUUCUAGAUUUCAACAGCUUUUAAAGUUGAGAUUUGAUAGUUGUCUAUAUUUACUACACAGCAGAUUAUGUAAAGCUAGCUAUAGCUAUGUAAUGCAUUACAGGUGAUCAAUGCCAAAGUUAACUGUAAAAAAAGAAGCAGCAACACACAUAUAUAAAGUAACGAAAUUAAAAUAACUUGAAGUAAAGCAUUGAUUACCUUUAGGAAGUCAUCCCAAAAUUUUGGAUCAUCAACUAUUAUAGCUCCAUCACUAUACUGAAAUCCCAAACCACUUUGGCUCUUUAGCAUAGCUAUACUCGCAUAACAUCUCUUCCAAUGCCUUAUUUUAGAUACGAUACGUGGUUCAGCUUUUAAUCCACUGUUAGGAUGAUGUUUACGCAAAUAACAUUCCAACUCCUUCAGGUAUCCCGGCCUAAAAGUUCUAUUAUCACCUCUCCAGCCAUUAGCACACAACUCUUUUAACCCAUCUAUAAGAGUUUGUUCUUCCUGUGCAGUCCAUGUCCUUCGAGUCGAAGGAGUUGAAUUGCUCGAUCUUUUUGAUGCGUUGUUUGAAGAUGUUUGGCUAUUCAUUGUCUUUAUAUUCUUGUGGAAUAGAUUAUCAACAAAAAUCAGAAAGAUUAUAAUCACUGUACACACAUUAAAUAGUUGAGGAAGUAUAUAACCUUCACCUAAAGUAAGACUAAUUUGAAAACACUUGAUACAAAAAAUAAAAUGCAUGAGAUAAAACAUAUAAAAGCACAUAAUUAUCCAGGGAAUUCAUCUCUACUCUAACGAUCUUGUUAGUGAUUAUAUCAUAUGUUGCUCAAACUCUUCAAAAAUGUUAUCGGGUGUGUGUAGGAUACUUUUGAAGGAUCCAACACAAGAGCUGCAACAUUUUUGAAGAGUCCAAGAAACAUGAAAUUAUUUAUAUCAAUUAAUAGGGACUAGAAUAUCUCUAAGAUUCAGGGCAAUUUAACUCUAUAAUUGAUUCAAAAUAUUCUGAAUAUUCUUAUUGACGACAGAAAUCAAAGCGAUUAUAUGAUUUGGACUUUCAGUGAAGAUGAUCACUACUCCAACAGAAGCAUGGAACCUCAUAAGAGAAACAUGAUAAAGGACCUCAAACACUAGCAAAGUUUGGCAUAGCAUGUUACCAUUUAAAAUGUCUUUCAUCUUUUGGAGACUUUUACUUGGUAAACUGCUUAUGGGUAAUACUAUGAAUAGAUUUAUCACUAAUAUACCCUCUGUUUGUAGAUGUUGCUCCAACCCCCAUCGGGAGACUCCACAACAUGUAUUUAUUGAUGGGAAAACUGCCAGGAUUACCUGAAAACACUUUGCUUGUUCUUUCGAUAUUUUGCAGUCUAUAGAUAUCAUUGGACAGGUUACUCAAGCACAAUUUUGCAGAUUACACCUGUAGCAAUCAUAUGACAUAUAUGGAGGGGCUACUGUGCUUGCAUUUAUGGUGAUUAGAAACAAAUGGGCCAAGUAAGAAUUGCAUAUCAAGUUGAAUGAAACAUCAAGACUACCAUACACAAGUUUCUGCCACAAAUUAUCUUAAGCAUCUCUUGAAGCAAUUUUUGUGAUCUAAAUAAUAGACCAUUUCAUAGUAGCAUAUUCCAAAAGAUUAAUUCAAGUGUAAAAUGGAAUCAAGAUUCCCAAUUAAUUAACUAGCGUGAGAUCUCUAAAACAGAAGAGUCAUUUUAACUCCUGAUGCAGACCUUAAAAGUCAAAAUUAACUAAAUCGAUCACAAAAAAUAAAUAUAAGGUGUCAUCACUAAUUAGAUCUUGCAUUCCACAUUGAUUGCGCCAACUCAUCCCUCCAAUUGGUCCACUCUUCAGAUGAUUCAACAACAUUAAUGUUUUCUUGUUGAUCCUCCAUUUGUUCUUCCAUAUUCAUGUCUAAAGGAUCCACUUCCAUUUCUCUACGGAUAAAGUUGUGAAUCAAACAACAAGCACUUAUGAUCCUGUUAUGAACUUUAACUGAGUACCAUGAAGAGCUUCUAAGAAUUCCCCAAUGCCCUUUCAAUAAACUAAAUGCUCCUUCAAUAACAUUACGAGCCCUAGCAUGCUUCAUAUUAAAAAGUUCUUCACGACAUCGAGGUGGUGGAUUAUCACCUUGCCAAUCCCUUAACCAAUAUCUAUACCCUCUGUAAGGCGAAAGAAAACCUUUUCCAUUUCUAUAUCCUCCAUCGCACAAAUAAUAGUUACCUAUAAUAUAAACAUAAGGUUUUGUUAUUUUUAUAUAUCAUUCUUUUCCUGUAUAGUUACCUACUCAAAAACUAAAAUACAUUAUUUUCUUUCUUGUAAUAUGAAUAUAUAAGUACAUAACAUACCCUGCGGAAUUUUCAAACCAUUAUGUCGCACUAUUGCAUCUUGUAAUACACGACCAUCAGCAGCGGAUCCUUCCCAACCAGGUAAAACAUAAGUAAAGUUGAGAUUUCUAUUACAAACUCCCAAUACAUUAGUUGCUAUAUCUCCCUUCCAUGUCCUGUAUCUUGGUUUGUACUCAGAUGGGACUCUAAUGUGAAUGUAAGUACCAUCUAGUGCACCUAAACAACCCUAUAAAAAAUAUAGAGAGUUAUCUCACACUAUAGUAAUUCCUUGAUAAAGCUAUAUUAUUUAGUUUUAUACAGAUGCUUAAAUGAAUUUCACCUACCUUAAAUCAUUUUCCAUCGAUCUUCUGUUUCAUCCUUAAGCACCGGUUUAGGAUUCACAAGUAACAAUGGAGUUAGUCUGAGUAUAGCUUUCAAACAUUCAUUAAAAGCUUGACUUACGCUCCAUCCAGAUCGAAUAUAAUCAAUCUUGAUAGAUCUAUUCUUCUCAUGAUGAGCCAAGAUGUUUAAGAACAUUGCUAGCUUCUCACUACUCGACAUAUAUUUACCAUCAGUCAAACCUCCGACAUUCUUAGUUAAUAGAACUAAAGUAUGAAAGGCAUUUCUAUCCAUUCUUAACUUAUCGAUACAUACAGUGUCACUGUCAUUUAUGAUACAAUUUAAGUGAGAAAUAGUUUUUGGAAUUCGAACAUUCAUACAGUACCUAAUCUCACGCCUAUUUUUAUAUCGUCUUCUUAGCGAAUGACCAUGAAUAGCCAUAAAAAGGCAAAUGAGGACGACAAGGAACUGUUGACAUAUUAUCUCCUCAAGAAUGAUAUAAUCAGUCUCAAAUAGUGGUUGAAGAUCGAUAAUAAUACCUAGUUUUGUCACAAAAUGGACAAAAUCAAUACAAAUAAUAUCAGCAAAAAUCUAGACAGAGAAUACUAAAAGACGCAAUGUUUCAAUACAGAGAAUACUAAUUUAGUUUCAAGAACAUAAAAUUUCAUUAGGGAACAAGACUAAAAGAAACAAAAAAUACCUUGAUAAAAGUUUUAACUUUGUAAGAAAAACAAAUAGUUAUAGAUUAAUGGACGGCUACACCUUCGGAGGUAGAGAGAGCCUAUUUGCAAUAGACAAUAAUGAUAUAUUUUAGUCUUUGAAACAUUUGAUCAAAGAGGGAUUCAGCAGUAAAAACAUUAGCAAGAAUGGUGCAAAAUAUUGACUACUAAUUGAACAGCAACUUUAACAUUUUACUCAUCAAGUAUGUUGAUCUUUAAUAGCACACCAUGCAUUUAUGGUAUUUCAAUAACUGGGCUUAAAGACAUUAUCUAUAUCCGAAACUAGGCAGAAUUAUAUGCAGCAUAUCUAACAGAAAUGCUAACAGCAUAUCUAACAUUAUCUACUCACUAAGUUUAUCGUCUCAAAUACGAGACCAAUCAUCGUUGCUAUGCUGAGAAUAUAAGAAGAUUCAAACCAACAGUAACAACUAAAUGACAUGACGUGUCUUAGAAGGCGUUGAAGCUGAUACGUCUAGUAAGCAACACCAACGGCUAAACGACCCACUCGUGUACUAUGGCUCAAAUCCACACUUCUAACAUCCUUUCUCAAUGCAUGGUUUCCUGUUCUUCGCGCAACAACCUUUGUUUUGUCUUCAGAUUUGAAGUCCUUGCUCCUCCUGAUAGAAUCUGAUGUCCUUGGUCUUGGAGAAUUCGUGACCUGCCUUUUCUCUUGAUCUCUCUUUGGAGCUACUGUUCUAUUUGAUUGGGUUUGUUUGGACGUUUUGCUUGUUGGAGCUGAAGGCGGCACGCUGCUGUCUGAUAACUCUGCUGAAGGAUGAACGGUUGCUUCUGAAACCUGUGGUGAGUCGGACACAUUUAGACGUUCAUUAGUGGAACAUCUGUUAUAAACUUCUGCCCUUGAACGACGAACAGUGUUGUCUGUUGCACUAGUAGCUCUAGCUCCUGCAGUCGAAGGCCUGCUUUGCAAUUUGCUUGAUUUAGUUUUACUUGCUGACUCCUGAAAAAGUAAUCAAAAAGGAAGUUAUAUUACUAGGUCGUCGGAGUGAGAGGGAAAAAUAAUCACUUCAGAGGAGGAUAAGGAUGAAGACUAAGAGAGUUUAAGUAAAUGGCCCGACAGAUAAUUAGCAACGCGUUUUUUUUCCUGUUGCAGUAGGAUCACAAGAUUUAUGUAACUGGAUAGCUAAAGAUGGAAGGUUAUCAACGUCACUGGCUUCUCAUAGUACUCGCAUGACAAGAAAGGGUAAUAGCACUAUGUAUUCAGAUUUCAGCUUUGAAAGAAUGUUAGUAAGUCGAAGUUUCAUACGCAUCAAAGUUCCCAACCAUGCCAUUGCAUAUAACCAAAUUAACUUUGAACAAACCUGUUCCUAGCGUAGACCUUUAUCACCUAGACCAACGAGAUUGACACUAAAAAGGACCCCAAGGAAGUAUGCUGCAUAACACCCAUAACUAAUAUCACUGAAUGGGCCCUAAAGUAUAUCAUAAUAGGAGGACCAAGGUACAAGAUGAUCUAUUCUGUCCUUUAGUGUCGAUCUUUCCCUUGAUCAAAGGAUAGCGAGAUAGAACUUCUCUAUUCUCUAUUCUUUUUUAUUGGUUCAAAUUUUUAGAAAGGUGAAGUCGCUUGUCCAAGAAAGGGGAUUUGAGUCAUAAAAUGACAGGAGAGUGCUACCAUAAACCAGUAGAACAGCUUGUAAACAUAUCUACAAACAAGCUUUACUUUCAUGUGAGAACAGUAGGCUAAGUGCACGGAUUUGAUGUUACCGAGUUUCAAACACCGGAAAACAGAAAAUAACAGAAGAAAUAGGAAGAUACUUGUGAAAGGUCAAAAUUUGGCGAUCUGAAUUCUCAUUAUUUGAGACCUGUUAUGAUACCUUGUCUUUUUCUGCGCGGCGACCAGGUUCACGGUAGAAGGAAGGCAUGGGAGUUGCUUUGAAAUUGAGAUUUCUCCGUAGCUGUUUGAUCUCUGCUUCUUUCUUUUCCUGAACAUAUCACAAAGUAAAACACAGUCAUUAUUUCCUUGUCAUCUAACUCUUGUCGAUGAUAUUUUACACUCCCUCGGUUUCAAUUUGUUUUACUUUCCUUGUUAGUCCGUUUCAAAAAGAUUGCAUCUUCCCUUUUUUGGCAACACUUUAAUUCCAAAUUUCCACAUGACACAAUUAAGACCACACGAUAUAUUCCACGACUUUAAAGAGCUAACAUUCGACAAUUAGCAGCCUAUGAUUCUCCAUAUUAAUUUGGACCUGUUUCCGUUAGUCAAGAGAAUCAGACCCCGGGUUUAUUACCUGGGUUCGUGCUUGGAGCUGAUGCAUUUCUUCCUCUUUGGCAUGCACUUUCUCCUCUAGCUUCAUAAAGAACUGAAAUCAAUAUCAAAAACUUCUUUUAGGUUUUAUACGGCGUUUGAACUUUAUCAAGUAGACACAAGAAAUUGGUCCUUGCCUCUUUCCUUUUCAUGGCCCGCUCUUCACUUUUGAAAUGGAAACUAGAUCCAUUCUGUUUCACACCUGGUUGAAAUGAAUUCACACUCUCCUUAUCCCUGUACAACAAUAAUAUGUCUAAGAUAUAUGUUUAUGAACACAAUAUGGAGUUAAAGCUCAAAAUUUUUCCACGAUAUAUACCUGCUUACACUUUGAUAUAAUCUAUGGCUAACUUUCUUUGUACAGGAAGAACGAGAAGCGACAACCUUUCUUGAUAUUGCCUGUUGUUCAGUGCUAUAUCAUUCAACAAUAAACGAGAUUAGGAAAAUUAGGAUGAAUCAGUGCCACCAAAAUAUCCCACAUUUUCAACAUGGAAGACAUGAUUAAGGAGCAUACCUUUUAUGUUGAUUAAGUACAUUAGAUUUUGAACCCGAAGAAACCUGUAUAAAGCAAGUUGUCUGUUACCAUGAAUUCAAUAAUCAUUUUAAGAAUUACUGAAGAACAAUCUGACUAAAAAGAAAGUUAUGUAAUAGUUCGACAGCAUUGAAAUAGCACAUUUACUCAUCUGCAUUGAAAUUUGAAGAUAACACUAAGCCUAAACCUGAUACAAACCUCUGGUUUUGGCAUUCGGGCAGUUGGACGCAAAAGAGUGCCAGAAGCGUUCAAUCUGGGCUUUUCUCUUUUUUGUGUCAAAGAAACAUCACUGUGCCUUCUAUUUGGUUUUCUUGGCAUGUCUUUGUAUGCUUGAUUUGAGAUUGUCCCCUUGACACUAGCAACAUUAACUUGGGACAACAUUCUGGAUUUCGUAUCUCUAGAUUGAGAUGCAGUCCUCACCUGCAUUUUAGGCACAAGAUGGACUACAUAAAGGGGCGCAAAUUUUCUGAACUCGAAUAAGACUACAAUGUUAUUAUUUAAAAUAGCUUACUACAGCAGCAAGCAAGAUGGUUAACUGCUGUAAUAAUAAAAGAUUAAUGGUCACAAAUGCUACAAGAGGUGCACCUUCGAAGAUGAACUUCGCCGAGGUUUUGAACUAACAGUGCCAUCUUUCUCAGUGGUGUGAGCAUUAGAGGAUAGAUCAACAGAGUUUGAUGAGAACUCGAUACUACUAUCUUGGCCCACUAAUUUCUCUUUCACUUCAAUUGUAGGUUUAGGAUCAUUAAAAGCUGCAUUUCCAGCAUUGAGAUUAAAUUUUGCUUCAGCUUCCAGAUGUUUAAGAACACUUUGAAGGACAUCUGAACUACAGGUAUAUUGUUCAGUCAGACGUCCAGAAUGGGAAAUUAUAUUAUCUUCGCUGCCACAUUCUGUGCCUUCAAUGUCUCCGUUGCUUGAUCCUUCUCUGCCACAUUUUGUGACUUCGAUGUCUCCAUUGCUUGAUCCUUCUCUGCCACAUUCUGUGACUUCGAUGUCUCCGUUGUUUGAUCCAUCAAAACUCUCCUCAAAGCGUGCAGAAUCACCAACCUCAUUCACUCGCUCGAAAUCUCCACCAUAGCCUGUGUUCUCGGAUUGAUACUUUCCAUUCUUCGAUAAGCGGGUUGAUCUACCAUGAUUUUCAUCAAAACGUGCAGAAUGGACAACUUCAUUAACAUGCUCCAAGUGCUCCGCAUAGCCUUCAUUUUUACUAGCUUGAUACUCUCCAUUCUCCAAUAAAGUGGCUGCUCUGUCAUGAUUUUCAACAAAGCGUGUAGAAUGGCCAAUCUCAUUAACAUGCUCAAAGUCUCCCUCAUAAUCUGUAUUCUCAGGUCCAUCAUAACUAGCUUGAGAAUCAGCCCCAUUCUGGCAGUCGGAUGAACUCUGGCUUAGAAGUGCCCUCCUUCUAAAACGCUCCUCAAAAUAUGCCUUUUUCUCAGUUACAGAACCUGGCUUGGAGCAUUUCUCAACCUCUUCAAGAUACUUGUUGUGUGUGAAAGAAGACCUCCUCUCCCAACAUAAAGCUUCAUUCUCAAAUCUACCGAAUGAGAUAGAUCCAGAUUGCCACGAAUCUGCCUGUCAAUUUUGGUAAGUAAAUUAAGAUCAGGUAGUAGAACCGAGUGAUCAUAUAUUACGUAAAAGAGCCACAUAGAUUUAGUUCUCAUGGAAAAUCUUCAUUUCCCCUGAUGGUUUAUUUAGAAUGUCUCAAGUAGUAUAUCCUAACAUGCUUAAACAGCCAAUCUUAUGAAAACGGAACUCUCAAAAUCUUUUCAACUAUAAGUUCAUCGUAACAAAGCCUCAAUCAAUGAGCAAGUAUGUUUCCCACAUAAAAAAACAUUUUUUAAUCAUGCACUGGAGUCUGGAGGUGAUUCGGAUGAACCCCUCCGUCCUUCCUGGCUCUGCCCCAAUCUCAGCAUUUAAUAUAUGAUCUCAUGGAAGUGUUAUGGAUCCAUAACUAAGAAAUCUACACACGUUAACAUGGGGAGGACAAAGAGAAUGCUUCUCAAUCACUCUAGCAGCGCUAUUGUACAAGGACGCUACAUACACAUUUUCUAACCAAAAGCAAGAUCUUGCAACCACAAAGCAUUCCUCAUUUAAGUAAGCAGAGGAAUGGAGAGAUGUGAAAAGCAAGAAUUCUCAUUUUCAAGUCAAUAAAACAACAAAGAAACUAGUAGAAAAUCCAGUAACCGCUUCUAACCGCUUAGAAAGGGGUCCAAAUUCAAUUCACAAAACUAAAUUACAUACAUUAAGCACCUAGAACAUAUAAAAUGGAUACUGAAAUGCAAUCUCCUGAAUUACCAAUCUACCAAUGAACAUAAAGAUUCAACCUUUUCUCUUCCCAAUUAACUAAAGAAUAAGAACAACAAUUUUUCUACUAAAUCCAGCAGCAACAGCUAAGAGAGCAAUACAUUCGAGAACAAAAAAAAUUAACCAAAGAAAAGCAUAUGAAAAUGACAGUAAAAACUUUACCUGGAAACUAAGCCUAAAUGGUUCUUCAAUAUCACCUGCCAUUUCAAAACUGUUCCUUUUCUAAAGCACCUCCAUAGAUAUCAUCUGCAUUUCCCAAAAACAAAAUCUUAAAAUUCUGGCCAAAAAAAAAAAAAAACAACAAAAAACCAAACACCCCAUCACUUAAAAAUAGAAUCUUUUUACUAUUCCAUACAUAAACAUCAUCAAAAAUGGACCAAAAUGAAAUUUUACAGACAACAAAAUAAUAAAAUUCUAAAAAAUUCAUCACAGAAAAAAAUCAAACACCCCAUCACUUAAAAAUGGAAUCUUUUCACUAUUGCGUACAUAAACAUCAUCCAAAUGAACCAUAAAAAAAAAAGAGUAUUUUCACUAUUCCAUACAUAAAAAUCAUGAAAAUGGACCAAAAAUUUCAUUCUACAGAUAAAAAAGAGCAAAAAAAUUACAGUUUUUAAAGGAAAAAAAUCUUAAAAUUCUGAAAAUGCAUCACAUAAAAAUAUUCUAAACGAAAAAAAUCAAUCACCCCAUCACUUAAAAAUUCAAUUUUUUCAGUAUUUCGUACACAAACAUCAUCAAAAUGGACCAAAAAUGAAGUUUAACAUAUAAAAAAAGCAAGAAAAUUACAAUUUUUAAAGGAAGAAAAUGAUAGAAUCUUGAAAAGGGUUGUAAAAGAAGCAAAAUUGAGACAAGGAAACUUGUUUGGAGUAGAGAAGAAUCACUACUUUGCUUAGAAGAAUGGGAGUAAUUUUUAAUGAGAAGGACAAUGGAGUGAACAUGAAAGUUUGAAAUUUUGUCUAAUUGAAUUUUGUAUUUAUGGAAAUGAUUAGAUUUUGGUUUAAAUAAUUAAGUAGAUCUUAAACUAAAAUGAAUUGCAUUUACAUCCUUCUAGUUUGAUAACAUUGUAAGAAAGGACCAAUUAGUUUGUAAAUCCGACCUACCUUCCUUUUAUUUCGCUCCCGCUUGAUUAUAGAUUUUGAAAUUUAAAUUUUUAAAAUUUAAAAUUAUGUUUGAAUUUGAAAAUUAGAUUUUUAAAAUUUGAUUAAUUUUUAUGGUUAAAUAUAUAUUGUUCAUACAUUUUAGAAUUGAAAAUUUAAAUUUUUAAAUCUAAAGUUGUAUUGAAUUUGAAAAUAUUUGAAGAUCAGAUUUUCAUAAUCUGAUCAAACUUUAUGAUCAAAUAUAUAUUAAUUUGAUGAUAUAUUUUAAAAAUUCUUUUCUAAAUCUCUAGUCAAAUGGUAGCUUGGUUUUGCAUUAUAAUAUACGAAUACCUUUGCUCACUUAUUUAUUUUUAAAAAUUUAUUUAUUUCUAAAUACCUUUGCUCGCUUAUUUAAAAAAAAAAAUUAUUCAUUUCUAGAAAAGAGUUAGAUCAAGGAAGGCAAUUUUAAUUCAUCUUUUUAUAUUUUGCUUCUCCUUCUAUUCUUAGUUCAGCCUUAACACAAUUUAUAGUUUAAUUGUAUAUCUUUGAUUACGUAGUUAUCUGUCUAAUUUAUUUUUGUUACCCAAAAAUAAGUGAAGGAAAAUGGCAAUAGCGUAAAUUGAAGCUAUAAAAUUUCCUUUUGUUUGAACUUUCAUGUUCAGUUAUCCCUAUUUUCUUACUAGUAUAUUCUAAAAUUUAAAUUAAACUAAUUUUGACGUGUAUUUAUAGUUAAGGAAAUUUUCACAAUAUAUCUAAACUUCAGAAUUCUUAACAAGAUUUUUCAUUCUUAAAUUUCAUGUAAAAUCUAAUAUUAUUACAAUUCAAAAUGUGCAAUUUAUGAAAAAGCUUUAUGAUCCAGUGCCUAUGGAGUACAUGAGCAAUCAUGUGCUUGUGUUCCCCUUUUUGUCUACUUCUGUUGAUUGGCCCACUUAAACUGGGUCCCACUAAUACCAACCCCACCUAAUCAUUGUGAUCUGACCCUUGGAUCUUCUUGAUCGGACGGUCAGGAAUUAGUUCAGACCCUUCCACGUGUCUUUUCAUUGUUAUUACAAGUUAUUACAUUCGUUAUAAAAAAAAAAAGGAAUUAACCUAAAUAAUCGUUCGUCAAACCAUUUACGUUCAAAAAUGGCCAUUUUAUAUCUAAUACGAGAGGAAUUAUUACACAAUUAAUGUCAGUGGCAUGAAGCUACCGUAUGCUGAAUUAUAAUCGUAGUGCCUCUAAAUCAAAAUUCGAAAUAGUAGCAACACAUGCGCCUGUAGUUCGCUUGUCGAGAUGACGUGUCGUUGACUAAGUCAUCGUGAUGGAAGAGUCAUCACUGUGAUCGCCUUGAAGUAUCUGAUUUUCAUCAAAUGAUAAAUUUGUCAGAUAGUUUAAAUACGUGAUGAGUAUCGUUAAGUGAUAAAGUGUUCUAUUUUUUUAUUUUUUUUAAAAAAAGAUGGGAGGUAGGAAUAUAAUUGACUAAUUAGAUUUUGGGAUAAGAGGUGGGAAAUGAUGAAUCAUGUGAUUAAUAGCUUUUCUAUUGUGGAGCCAUUAUGUGGAUAAUAUAAAUUUGCCUUUUUUGAAAAAUUUUGCAAAAAGAUUUGCUCUUUAUUUAUUUUAGAUAUAAGUGCCAAAAGGAAAUAAAAAGUGGGGUUAUGUUAUGAUGUUGGGACAAAUAAAGAUGUUGAUUUGCAUUAUUGGAAAGAAUUAUUAGGAUAAUCUUUUGAGACAUAAAGGUUGAAUGCCAUUUUUAACAAUGUAUUUUCAAGUUUAUUUUAUGGGGGGAAAAGGGUGGGAGCCUAUGUAUCCAUUAAUUUUUAUAAUCCCUUUUAUUAAUACCUUUGUUAUACUUUUUUAUAUUAAAAAGGAUAAAGUAUGAUUUGUGAUAAUAACAAAGAACGAAAUAAGAUUAUCAAUUAAAGAAAGGGAUUAUAGUUGUGUAAUGUCAGACAUUACUUUUAAUCGAUCAAAAACGAAUUUAGAGUUUAAAUAUUAUAAGUUCGAUUUUGAAAUCAACGAUAACUCAUCUCUCAAAUUUUAUAGUAAUUUAAUUAGUAGUUCUUCACUUGUUCUAAUGCAUUUGGAAAUUUUAUUCAUGGUUCAUUUUCACUUGAUUUAAUUACUUUCUCGAAGGAGUUUUUACUAUUUACGCUUGCAUGUUAAUCAGAUUUUUGUAUGAAUAAUGACUUUUUUUAUAUUAUUUUUUUUUAUGUCGGUUAUGUAAAUUAAAGCUAACACGCUUAUAUUAUGAUAUGUGAUUUAUUAUUUGCGUAGCAUUAUAUUUAUGAUAGGUUAGAUUUCGUUAAACAAGAGGACCCUACCGAUAUCGACUUAUAGGCAUUGAUGGAAUUUAAUUAGUAACUCAUAUAUAGAGACAGCUCAUUUUGAUGAGCUUUAAUUUAUUGGUGAGCUCUUACUAAUUUAAAUCUUGUGAGGUUUUCUUAUCCCAAAAAAUUGAAGUUAUGGCCCAUGCAUGUAUAUUAAUUAUAAUUAAAUUAAACACUCCAACAAAUUAAUGCUGUGUAACUACCCUAAAAAUAUGAUAUGAACGUAUUUAAUGAAUGAAAGCCACUUGUGUCAAAAGAUGUUAGACAGCGGAUCACUUAAACUACAACGUUAGAGAUUGUUUGCUAAUUAAAAAGACCUUCCUCGCGCACAGAUAUAGACCCUCCUUAGCGAAGUUCGUCCCUCCUUCGAAACCCACCUUUUCGCCAAACCAGAAUGAGACUCAAAGACCACCGGAAGACACUUAGGGCUAUAGUAUGUGGUGAAAGAAACAUAUGAACAGGCGUGCUUGGAUCGUGUCUCCGGGGUUCAGUUGAAUGUAGGAUGUAUUUAGUGAAUGAAGGCCACUUGUGUCCAAAGAAGAGACUAGACCAAAUCUAGUAAUCAAAAUUGAACAAUACUAGCUAAACCCUACAAAUAACUAGGGCCUUUAUGCCAAAAAGACUCUUUAUCCAAACUAUUUUGUCAAAUACCUACAAGUUUUAAAUCUUUUGUCAAAUACCCACUUAAUUCCACCUCACCACCAACUUUUCCAACUUAACAAUUUCAGUCCCAACCUUUAUAAUAAUUCACUUUAACCCAAUACUUCCAACUUAAUAAAUUCACCCACAAGUUUUUAAUAAUACACUUCAUCCCACUCCAUCAUCCACCACUAUAUAUAUAAAAAUAUUAUCUAGGUUCCAAAAAUAUUUAAAAAAAUAAUUCCAAAAGCUAAAAAUAGAAAGUGGUUAUUUUUCCCACCAAAAAGCUCCGAUUUCGGCCACUUUUCCGGCAUUAUUUUCCUGCGAUCAACUGUAAAUUAGUCCACAAACAUAAGCUUGUCCAUUGCAUCCAUUGUUACCUCAUUUGUUUUCUAUCUUCUCAGACACACUUUCCACCAUUGUUAAAAAGCUUUAAAUCACUCACAUUACUCAAAACCACUUUAGAAAGUGUAUUACAGCAGCUCAGGCGACUCCAAGUUCAUUUAUUUAUUCCAUAAACCCAACAAUCAUUGAUUACAAGCAAUAUUUGCAAUUUCAAGUAUUUGUACAGAAAUCUGUGCAGUCAUCGACCCGUCCUCGCCAGUCAUCGACCAUGCAUACAACACGACAUAGACCAUAAGCAUAAUCUACCAUCGACCAAAGCUUAAUUCUAGGAUGUCUAUUGCAGAAUUUGUUCUGGUUUCUAGUGAUUUCAUGGGAGAAUGGGUGGAGACUUGAAAAUGCUGGAAAUGGAGAUCAUUUACCAAGGUGACAAUUCCCAUUCCUGUUCGCUGCAAUAGUUCGUACGACGAACUUGUUGCAAGCGUAAUGCAGAGCGGGGAUCUAGAUUGCGCGCCGAGCGACGUGGUGAUUAGUUAUGUAAUGCAUUCGAGGAAAAAGGGUGAAUCCUACGAUCAUAAAUAGAGAUGUACGUGUGCUAACAUACAUAAUGAAUGCUGAUGCAGAUGACUUUAGGCCAAUUUUGAGGAUAAAUGUGGUUGAGAGGUCCUUUGAAGGACCGUUGAAUUCAUCAGCACCCCCACCGUGGCGUCCGGUAGUUGACGAUGAUUUGAUCGAUGACGAUUUGAAUUAUUACGAGAACGAUGUCGAUGAUACAAUUAAUAUGGAAGAUUAUUCUAUGCAUAUGGAAGACUUUUCAUCGGACUCGCAAGAUGAUGAAGAAGACCGUGAAACGGAAUCACAAGCAGGACACUCCUUCACCGACGGAACCAAUUUCUGUUGUGGUCAAACAUUCGCCGAUAAAAAAGAGCUGAAAAUGCAACUAGAUGCAGCAACGGUGAGGCAGUCUUUUGAUUAUUAUAUGGAGAAGAGUUGCACGAAAUUGAUGAAGGCGCAAUGCUUAUCUCGUGGUUGUGGCUGGCUGUUGCGGGCAAAAAAGAACGACACCUUAGACAAAUUUUGCAUAUACAAGUAUGUCGGGAUGUACACGUGCGACGUUGAAAACGCCACCCGCAGGCACAAGAAAGUCUCAUCCGAAUUGAUUGCUUCAGUAUGCGUAAAUCAUUUUUGGGAUGGUAAGGAUCCAAGCAUAAGAGAAAUUCAAAGAAUUGUAUUUAAGGAGUUGCAUCACAAGCUAUUGGAUGUGUUGGAAAGGAAGUGUAAUUGCGAAGAACAUCAUUCGUGGGACACCGGAUCAUGGAUAUGCUUGCUUGCCGACUUUUUCCCACAUGGUGGAGUUAUUGAAUCCCGAGUCUUCUCACUCUAUCAUGGUAAACCGGAUGAAUGGAUCGUUCAUUUACUACUUCUUAGCAUUCGGAGCUUGCAUACGAGGAUAUGCCCACAUGAGAAAGGUAAUUGCCGUCGAUGGCAUACAUUUGUAUGGCAAGUACGGGGGCAUUCUACUGAGCGUCGUUGUACAGGACACCGAAAAUCAUAUAUUUUCGAUUGCCUUUUGUGUCUUCGAUAAAGAGAACGAUGCUUCUUGGACCUUCUUCUUCCAGAAGCUGAAGUCUAUCAUAGAAGAUGAACCAGAUCUAUGCGUCAUGUCCGACAGGCACAUUAGCAUCGCCAAUGCCUUCUCCCGUGUAUACAGUCAUGCAUAUCACGGACUUUGCAUGAGGCACCUCGCUGAAAAUCUUUGCGUAAAUCAACACUGCGGAGAACAUCUUUAUCUAUUCUACGCCGCGGCAAAGGCUUAUUCCUUUGAUGAGUUUAGCGAUAAUUUUGUGGAAUUGAAGAGUAAAUGCCAUGAGGCAGCUCAUGUCCUUGAAAAUGUGCUUGGUUUUGAAAAAUGGAGUAGAGCACAUUUUUCGAGCAAUAGGUACGACGUGAUGACCACAAACAUCGCCGAGUAGCUCAACUCGAUUUUGAUGGAUGAAUGGGAGUGCCCCGUGUAGUACAUAUUCAAUUCAAUUACUAAAAAAUUUGGUGAAAAGUUUAGGGAGCGGCAUGCAUUUGUCGGUGGUAAAGAGAACAUAUUUGUGCCUUCUGCGGAAAGAAUCCUAAGGGAUAAUAAGAGUGCGAGCGAUUCCUUGUAUGUGGGUAAUCCAAACGGGGUUCUCGAUGAGUAUACGAUGUUCGACAGCGGCGUUACUGCGAAGGUCAAUCUCUUGGAGAGGAGUUGUUCUUGUUGAAAAUUUAACUUGGUGAAAAUGCCGUGCGAACACGCGAUGACAGCUUUGCGAGCAAAGUACGGCGAUGACGAAGAUUAUGGUAACUCCAUCUACGACUACUCUUCGCCAAUUUAUAAAGCUGAAAGUUACCUCCUCGCAUACUCGGAAGCAAUUAAUGUGGUCCUUCCGGAGGCUGAAUGGACUGUGCCACAGAAAUUGGUAGAAACCAGAAUUUCUCCACCCCCGUACGAUCCCAAACUCGGAAGGAAGAAAGUCAAACUCACUAAGGGUGUCAGUGAGAUAUUCAAGUCCAAAAGGUCUCAAAAGAACCAUGUGUAUAAUGGGCAUCAAAUCAUAAAUAGGCUUUUUUUAGCUUCAGUUGUAAAGCUACUGUUUUGGGGGAUGAAUGUGCAUUUCUGUAGAUUUUAACGUUCAGUUAUUAUCGACCUAAAGCUUUGUCUACGAUAGACUAUCUAUAGUCUACGGUAUAUAUAAUAUAUGGUCUAUAAAAUAUUAUGUAUUGAUUAUAUUAUUGCUGAUCUAACACGUUAUGUUGGUCAUUUUCCCAGCUUAUCUCUCCAAUCGAUGCAAUGAAUCAUUAUUUCCCUUGUUUUCCAUUGCCAUUUAUUAAAAAGCUGCACAAAACGUCUCUUCACGAGGAAAAACAGCUGGUAUACGCAUACGAAACGUUUUCUCUUGUCAGACACGUCGACUUACCAUUGGGUGGAUAUAUGAACGGCGCAAUCUACAGGCCUAUAAGUACAGGCCCUCUUUCUACGCAACCCUUCAAUUUUUCCUAAAUCGAAAAUAUCAGAAAUCAUCUCUUCUUCUUCUUCUUCUUCACCCAAAUAAAAAAAAUGCCUCCAAGAAGGAUACCCCUGUGCCCCAUCAGACGUGUUUGUCCGAGGCACUACGACCUCCUCCUCCUAAGGAAUGAUUUGGACCGGAUUUUCUACGGGCUGGGUCAAGACCGCAUCUACCUGGAGCGGGAGCUCCGUCGAAUUGCUCAUUUCUUGAGGGCAAUUCUAGAAAGGCUCGAAAUGGAAGGCCCUGACUACAUCACCCCCCCCCACCACCACCACCAUCCCCAUAAUUUAGUUUAAAUGUUUUAUUUUAGUAUAUAUUUUUAAGUAUUUUUUAUUUGUUCAUUGCUGAAGAAGCUUUCUUUGUAGAAUCUUGUUAGAAGAAAGCUUCUUUCAUUUUUUCCUUUUUGAUGUAAAUUUUAUUAUGUAAUGCAAUGACCAAUUUUAAUACAACUAUAUUUCAGUUUCCUUUAACAUUGUGUGUUUGCCAUCUUUGUUCUAAUCCCUUGUUUGAAAACUCAAAUCAAAUAUUUCUGCCUUUUCAAUUUACAGUAUUGUGGCUUGACUAAUUUCCUGAAGAGUAAAAUCUAAUAGUUAGAUUUUUAUACAAAGUAUUUCAUCGACUAUACAUAUUAGUCGAUCGUAGACUACAUGAAUCGAUGGAUCAUUGGGUAAAUUAAAAUAAAUAAUAACAAAUUUUCAAAAAAUAAUUUAAUUUUAAAAGAUUUAAACAGAUUAUCACAUGUUAUNNNNNNNNNNNNNNNNNNNNNNNNNNNNNNNNNNNNNNNNNNNNNNNNNNNNNNNNNNNNNNNNNNNNNNNNNNNNNNNNNNNNNNNNNNNNNNNNNNNNNNNNNNNNNNNNNNNNNNNNNNNNNNNNNNNNNNNNNNNNNNNNNNNNNNNNNNNNNNNNNNNNNNNNNNNNNNNNNNNNNNNNNNNNNNNNNNNNNNNNNNNNNNNNNNNNNNNNNNNNNNNNNNNNNNNNNNNNNNNNNNNNNNNNNNNNNNNNNNNNNNNNNNNNNNNNNNNNNNNNNNNNNNNNNNNNNNNNNNNNNNNNNNNNNNNNNNNNNNNNNNNNNNNNNNNNNNNNNNNNNNNNNNNNNNNNNNNNNNNNNNNNNNNNNNNNNNNNNNNNNNNNNNNNNNNNNNNNNNNNNNNNNNNNNNNNNNNNNNNNNNNNNNNNNNNNNNNNNNNNNNNNNNNNNNNNNNNNNNNNNNNNNNNNNNNNNNNNNNNNNNNNNNNNNNNNNNNNNNNNNNNNNNNNNNNNNNNNNNNNNNNNNNNNNNNNNNNNNNNNNNNNNNNNNNNNNNNNNNNNNNNNNNNNNNNNNNNNNNNNNNNNNNNNNNNNNNNNNNNNNNNNNNNNNNNNNNNNNNNNNNNNNNNNNNNNNNNNNNNNNNNNNNNNNNNNNNNNNNNNNNNNACACUUCUUAAUUCACCCUCCCUAAUUUGUCUAAGCUCUAAUAUGAUUAUGUGACUUGUUUACACUCCUUCACAUGUGUAGAAAUCCACACCACAUUUAUUUAUAAUUUAUUUAAUCAUUUUUUAACUACAUCCAAGUGAUGGUCUACAACCUUGUACAUAGAUCAUCGUGGUCUACGCCUAAUCAUGAUAUCGGUCGAUGCGAUAAUAAACGUGUAAGUCUACGAUAGACUAUACUGAUCGAUGGAUGACAUAGUUUAUGAUUUACGACGGUCUAUUAAGUGUCAUCACCAUUCCAAGAUCAUCUAUUUAAAUUAUUUUUAAUGUAAUUGUUUUCUUCCACCGNNNNNNNNNNNNNNNNNNNNNNNNNNNNNNNNNNNNNNNNNNNNNNNNNNNNNNNNNNNNNNNNNNNNNNNNNNNNNNNNNNNNNNNNNNNNNNNNNNNNNNNNNNNNNNNNNNNNNNNNNNNNNNNNNNNNNNNNNNNNNNNNNNNNNNNNNNNNNNNNNNNNNNNNNNNNNNNNNNNNNNNNNNNNNNNNNNNNNNNNNNNNNNNNNNNNNNNNNNNNNNNNNNNNNNNNNNGAUGGCUGACAUAGGUCAUGAUCUACGACAGUCUAUUUAGUGUCGCCAUCAGUUCAAAAGAGAAAAAUUACUUUUCCAAUGGUAAAAAACGACUACUUUUGUAAGCCAUCAGUGUGAACACUUUAUUUUUACUUCAUAUAUAAGGUGUACAUCCCUCCUUAUUUUAUUUCAUCAACUUUAUUUUGUUUUUAAAAAUUCUACAAUGUCGCAAGUAGCUCAACAUCCAAUUCUAAAAAUACUCUAAUUUGUCACUGUGGGAAUGCGGCUGUCUUGAGGACGUCACGCGCGGAUUCAAAUCCAGGUCGCAAAUUUUAUAAUUGUGCAAUGCAAAGGUGAGGUGUGCGUGUUUUUUUUUUUAAGUUAAGUUAAUGGUUAUGUAAUUAUUUUUUUUCCUAGAAUAAUGACGCAUGCUCAUUUUUCAAAUGGCUUGAUGAGCUAUCACUUCCAUCCAGUCUAUCAACGUUUAUUUCGGGACUCGAGACAUCAAAUUUUCAAGGCUUGGCAAAAUUUAAUCUACUACAAAGGCUCCAACAAUGCGAAGAAAAUAAAGAUUUUCUCAUGACUUUUUUCAAAGAAGCCGAAGAACAGAGGGAUCACUUUAAACUAUUGCUACAUGACACCCAAAUAGAGAGGGAUCAACUAAAACAAAAAUUAAUUUUGGUCGAAAAAAGAGAAAAUGUCCUAAAAAUAAUGUUAUGUGCUAUAAUGCUAGUAUUCGUUCUUUGGAAAAGUGUAACAUGGAUGUAGUGAUAUUGAAUAAAUAAUAAUAGUUCUACUUUUGUAUAAUGUUAAAUACUAUUUUUGAUAGAACCAUAGUCGAUUAAACAACACGUCAACUUAAAUUCGACCAGCAGGGUAAUGAUAGACUAUGCAUACGGUAUAUGCCAAAAUUUGCACAGCCCUAAGUAGUCGUGUUAUUCUCCUAAUCAAAGAAGUUCAUUAACUAACUUAUUAUCAAGAAGUGCAUGUCCUUGCUACCGAAAAUUAUGAAAAAAAUUAUGAAGAAAAAGUCGGUGUCCUAGCAGAUAUUCCCUCCAUUCCUAAAUAUUAUUCAUAUUUUGAGUUUGCCUGUUCCUUGAGAAAAAAAGAAGAAGCUAACUUAAUUAAAUUAUUCUUCUUUUUAACAAAGGCGAAAUCAAGAUUUAAAAUUUGUGAGUUUUCAAUAAAUUUGAAUUAGGGUAUCCGUGUGGACAACACUUCUAGAGAUCUCUUUAGAAUCACUGAGCCAACCAAUAACUUUGUUAAUGAUUCCUAACUUUAACAUUCUUAUAUCACUACUAAAAAAAUCGGUAAAAUCGACCACACGGGGUCGGUGUGUGGUCGUUUUUCAAAAAAAAAAAAAAUUAAUUUUUUUUAAAAAACGACCACAAGUAGUCGGUUUUAUAUUUUAAAAAAUCAAAAUAAUUAUUACAAUAAUUUUACUAAUUAUAAUUAUUUAUUUAACAAAAAAAUAUUAAAAAAAAAGAAUGAAACCGACCAAUUGUGGUCAGUUUUUUUAAAAAAUAUAAUUAAAAAAUAUUUAUAAAAAUCGACCACUUAUGGUCGGUUUUUAAAAAUACUUUUUAAAUUUAUUUUAAAAAAAAAACGACCACAAGUGGUCGAUUUUUUUAAAAAAUUUAAUUAAAAAAUAUUUAAAUAAACCGACCACUUGUGGUAGGUUUUUAAAAAUACUUUUUAAAUUUAUUAUUAAAAAAAACCGACCACAAGUCGAUUUUUUUAAAAAAUUCCAUUAAAAAAUAUUUAAAAAAACCGACCACUUGUGGUAGGUUUUUAAAAAUACUUUUUAAAAUUUAUUAUUAAAAAAUUGACCACUUAUAGUCGGUUUUGUUUUAAAAUUUAAUUAAAAAAUAUUUUAAAAACCGACCACCUGUUGUCGGUUUUUAAAAAUUCUUUUUUAAUUUAUUUUUUAAAAACCGACCACUUGUGGUUGGUUUUUGAACUAAAAAAUAAAAGUAAAUAUUUUUUAGUAACACCUAAUUAUAUAUUUGUAAUAAAAUAUAUAUAUUAUUUUCAUUAAAAAUAACUAUAUAUAUAAUGUAAUAUAUAUCUAAUUUUUUAAAAUUACACUGAUCACAUGUAGUCGAUAACCAGUAUAAUAAUAAUAAAAUUCAAUAAUUCUUAAAUUUUGUGACAAAAUUACACUAAAAAAUAAUUCAAAUAAAAUAAACAAAUUACGUUAAGCAUAAUCUUUAUCUUUUACUUAUGUUUCAAUAUAUAAAAUAAAUAUUUUCCUUUGUAUAUACGUUAAAUGACGUUAAACAUGCAUAAUCUUUGUAUAAUGAAUAUGUNNNNNNNNNNNNNNNNNNNNNNNNNNNNNNNNNNNNNNNNNNNNNNNNNNNNNNNNNNNNNNNNNNNNNNNNNNNNNNNNNNNNNNNNNNNNNNNNNNNNNNNNNNNNNNNNNNNNNNNNNNNNNNNNNNNNNNNNNNNNNNNNNNNNNNNNNNNNNNNNNNNNNNNNNNNNNNNNNNNNNNNNNNNNNNNNNNNNNNNNNNNNNNNNNNNNNNNNNNNNNNNNNNNNNNNNNNNNNNNNNNNNNNNNNNNNNNNNNNNNNNNNNNNNNNNNNNNNNNNNNNNNNNNNNNNNNNNNNNNNNNNNNNNNNNNNNNNNNNNNNNNNNNNNNNNNNNNNNNNNNNNNNNNNNNNNNNNNNNNNNNNNNNNNNNNNNNNNNNNNNNNNNNNNNNNNNNNNNNNNNNNNNNNNNNNNNNNNNNNNNNNNNNNNNNNNNNNNNNNNNNNNNNNNNNNNNNNNNNNNNNNNNNNNNNNNNNNNNNNNNNNNNNNNNNNNNNNNNNNNNNNNNNNNNNNNNNNNNNNNNNNNNNNNNNNNNNNNNNNNNNNNNNNNNNNNNNNNNNNNNNNNNNNNNNNNGAUAACUCAUCAAAGUAUGUAUAUGAAAUACGUCGUAUUAUAUUAUUGGAUCAUAUACUCGUGUAUGUAUGUGAUAUAUAUAAUACGUAUUUAGAACUUGAUAUAGUUGAUGGUGUGUAUAUGCGUGUGUAUGUAUAGGUAUAUACAUAUUAUAUAGUGAAGGUAUAUUAAUGACAUAAGAUAAUCAAACAAUAAUUCAUCUGGUUAUAUGUGAAAUACGUUGUAUAUUAUUAAUUUAUCUGAUCAAUUUUGACCGCUAGAUACUCCUUUUAGGUUGUUGUUUUGUAAAAAUUAUUAACUUCAACUAUUAAUAUUUUUGACACAUUAUUCUUGUAUCAAACAUAUAUUGACGUGUCACAUUCGUGAUUUAAAAAACAUACAAAAUAUUUUUACAAAACAUACAAAAGAAUCUUCAAGUUUGAAUAGGUUUUCGAGAAGGUCUGCGUACACUGUACCCUCCACGUUGACACCCAAUUUUGACCUCCCGAUACUACAUUUAGGUUGUUAUUUUAACAAAAUUAUUAAUUUUUUAAAUAUUAGUAUUUUUGAACAUUUUUCUUGCAUCAAACAGAUUUCUAACAUGUCACAUUCAUAAUGCAUAAAUUAUUUUUAUCUUUUAGCAUCAUUUUUUAUAAUUUUUUAAAUCAAAUAUGACAUUUUACAUGAUUUUAUUAAUAAAUUACCUUUUCACGUAAUUGUGCACACUCACAUUGUUUUUCUACAUUGCCUAGUUUUUUAUUAUUUAGUACUAUUUGUUUAUUUAUUUAUUUAUUUAUUAUUAUUAUUAUUUGUUAUUUAUUAUUUAUUAUUAUUUUUUAUUAUUAUCCUUAUUAUAUUAUAUCUAUUGUUAUUUCAAUGACAACCAAUUAUAAUUACUUUAUCCAAUUUAUUCACUUUUAUUCAAUUUCUUACAAUCUUAGACUAUUUUAUUCAAUCUAUUACAUAUUCAGCCAAUUGACAUUCAGUCAUGUCAAUUUUAACCUAAUCACUUGGUCUAUUACAAUUGUAGCCAAAAUUGGGACUCAAUUCAGAAUUUUUUAUUCAAUUUUUAAUCAAAAUCUCAGCCUUUAAUCACAGCCGUUGAUCAAAGAUGAACUAACGACUGAGAUCGAAAGAAGCAUUCAUUCCUUUUAAAAAAACAAAUAAACCAAAACCCUAACCCUAAAUUCAUUUCAUAAGCUUCCACCACCACUCUCUCUACCUUCUCUUUCUCUCUCAAAACCUCUUCCGCCGCCAACUCUCUCCGAUCCCCCUCCCCGUCGCCGCUCUGCCACCAACGAUGGUAGCAACACUGCCUCCCUCCGUUCGCCCCUCCGACGGAACCAGCCGCUGCCAUCAACGCCUAACACUGGCGCCGUCCCCCUCGCGUCCUCCUUCUCCUUGUUCAUCAUCCCUCCUCCGGCGCCGUCCUCUCCAACGAAACCAGCGAACUAGCGCCGUCCUCCACCGCCGAAACAGCCAUCGCUUUGCCAUAAAACGAUGGGUUCUCAAGAACCCAUCCUAGGUUUGAUUCCAUAUUUUAUUUUUUCUCUCCUAACGUGACAGAUUUAUGUGAUUAGAAGUUAAUUUGAUUAAGUAUGUUGAUAAAAUCUUGUGUGCUUUAGUUUGAUUAAUUAUCUAUGCUGUUAUGCAUGAGAAUUCUCCAAUUUUAUUGUAUUAUUGGGGAUUUCUUUUUGUAUUUUUGAAAUUGUUAUAUGUGUGUAUGUUUUGACGUAGUUCAUAUAUAAAUUAAACUAGUAAGGUAUUUGACUGUGUCUGCUCCUUAUCGACAGUACUAGAAAGGAGAACAAAAUUCUAACUAGAAAGGAGGUGUAGGUAUGAAGUCUGGGACUAAUUAUGAAUAGUUGUAAAUUGAUUUUUUUGGUGUUAUUAGUUGAUUUUAGUUAAUUGGUUCCUGGACCACCAGUUUAGGGCACAAAGCAACAUACAACUUUUAUUAUUUUUUCUACCACUUGCCUAAUCGUUCAAAUUAUCUUUUUUGAUUGACAAGGAUUAUACAAAAUUGUAGCCAUGUGUUAUGUUAUUAUAAUUUUAUUUUAAAUUCUAUAUAUUGUUACUUUAAAAAAGAAAAAAAAAAGACUAUCAAGUCAUUCACGGAAUAUUUAUGGGUAAAAUUCUUUAAAAUGUUAAAUUUCUAGUUUUGAAAAUAAGACAGGUUCUAAGUUGAUUGAAAUAGAGAUAUGAUUGGGGAUUUAGAAAAGCUUGAGCAAGAACAAUUCCAUCUAGGGGAUCUGAUUGGAACUAUUCUGAAAUAACUAUUUAAAAAUAGUUAGUGUAGUGACUUGAAAUGUGUACUACUAAGUAUACUGACUUGAAAAUGUGAAUUAGUUAAUUGAAAAUAGUUAAGUGUAGUGACUUCAAAUGCUAGUACAUGACUUGAAAAUGGUUAAGUGUAGGGAUUUUAAAGGAAUUUUUUUUUGUUUUAAGGUACUUGAAAUGUGGACUUGUAUUUUGAAUUUAGUUAAGUGUGGUCACUUGAGAAGUGAAUAAGUACUUGAAAAUGUUUAAGUGUAGCUUGUUGAAAUGUGGACUUGUGUUUUGAAUUUAGUUAAGUGUGGUCACUUGAGAAGUGAGUUGGUGACUUGAAAAUGCAUAAGUGUAGGUACUUGAACUUGUGUUUUCAAUUUAGUUAAGUUUGAUCACUUGUGAAGUGAAUUAGUGACUUGGAAUGUUUAGAUGUAGUUACUUGAAUUAUGAACUUGUGUUUUGAAUAUAGUUAAGUGUGGUCACUUGAGAAGUGAGUUAGUGACUUGAAAUUGCACAAGUGUAGAUACUUGAAACGUAGACUUGUGUUUUCAAUUUAGUUAAGUUUGGUCACUUGUGAAGUGAAUUAGUGACUUGGAAUGUUUAGAUGUAGUUACUUGAAUUAUGAACUUGUGUUUUGAAUAUAAUUAAGUGUGGUCACUUGAGAAGUGCAUUAGAUAGUUGAAAAUAUUUUAAGUGUAGUUACUUGAAAGGUGGACUUGUGUUUUGAAUUUAGUUAAGUGUGGUCAUUUGAGAAGUGAAUAAGUACUUGAAAAUGUUUAAGUGUAGGUAGUUGAAAUGUUGAUUUGUGUAUUGAAUUUAGUUAAGUGUGGUCACUUGAGAAGUGAGUGUAGUCACUUGAGAAUUGCAUUAGUGAGUCGUAAAUGUUUAAGUGUAGUUACUGGAAAGGUGGAAUAGUGACUUUUGUUUUGAAUUUAGGUACUUGAAAUGUGAACUUGCGUUUUGAUUUUAGUAAAGUGUGGUCACUUGAGAAGUAAAUUUGUGACUUCAAAAUGUUUUUAAGUGUAGGUACGUUUUUUUCAUUUUGAAUUAAGUUUAGUUUAGUAACUUGUGAAGUGAAUUAGUUACUUAAAAAUGUUUAGGUGUAGGUAUUUGAAAUGUGAACUUUUGUGACUUGAACUAAUCACUUGAAUUUGAUUGAUUGUGUAGAUGAAAUCUGAUUAUAGCUGGAUAUAUCAACGAAAUAUCGAUAAUAGAAUGGAUGAGGCUGAGAAUGAAGUUGCGGAUAAUGAAUUGUCGUUUUUAGUAUUUUGUAUGUUUUAUAGUUUGGAUUUGGAACCUCGAUAAAUUUUGUAAAUAAUGUUUGUAUUCUUAUGGUGAUUGGUUGAUUGUAUAUUAAAUAAUUGGUGGGAUGUAUUGUAGAUAAUAAUCAAUGUUUGUAAAUGAUUGUGGUCGGCUAUAUUGUAAAUAAUUUGAUUUUUAAUUUUUGUAUUUUAAAAAAUUUCAAUAUUUUUUUUUACAAAAUUAUCAAAUAAACCGACCACAUGUGGUAGCUUUUUUUAAAAUUUUCAAUAUUUUAUUUACAAAUUAUCAAAAAAAUCGACCACAUGUGGUAGCUUUUUAAAAAAAAUUUGAUUUUAUUUUUACAAAAUUAUCAAAAAAACCAACCACAUGUGGUAGCUUUUUUAAAAAAAAUUAAUUAAAAAAUAUUUAUAAAACCGACCACAAGUGGCCGGUUUUUAUUUAUUUUUUUAAUUUUUUUUAUAAACUGACCACUUGUGGUUGAUUUUUAUAAAAUUAAUUAUUUAAUUUUAAAAUAAAACCGACCACUGGUCGGUUUAUUUUGAAUUUUUUAAUUCUUAAAAUCAUUUUUUCUAUUUUAAUAAAAUAAUAAUGAAUUUAAAUUAUUUUUUUUUAAAAAAACCGAUCACUUGUGGUUGGUUUUUAAAAAGCCAACAUAGGUUUUCCGACCACAUAUUUUGGUCGGUUUUGUGAUCGGUUUUUGGAAAAAAUCGACCACACGUGGUCGAUUUUGAUGGUCGAUUUUCUCCUUUUUUCUAGUAGUGGCAAGUGUUACUGUUGAUUUGAUCAACAAUGUCCAUGAUCACAUCUGUUUGGACAGCUUCAACUUCUUUUUUCUCAAUAAUUGCAGCUGCUUCUUCAUUCUCACCUUCUUUUUUUUCAGCAUGUGCAUCAACUGUUGCUUCUUCAGUUUCCUUUUCUUCCACACCUUCUUUUCUUACUUCACCUGCAGCAGCUGUUUCUUCCUCAACUUUAGUAGCUGUUUCUUCCUCAGCUUCUUCUUUUCGUUCACCUGCUACUUCUUGCUCAACUUCUUCUUUGUCAGCUUUGUCAUCUUCUUCUUCAACAGUUUUUCCUUUUUCCGCGCCUCCUUGUUCAUCUGCUGCCGCUUCUUCUUCUUCUUCUUCUUCUUCUGCUGCUGCUGCUGCUGCUGCUACUUUUCCAUCUUCUUCUUGGCUCUUAUCUUCUUCACCAUCCUUCUUUUCUUCUUUUUCCUCUUCUGCCACAACAACGGCCAACUCAUCCAUUUUGCUCUUUUUUUCUCCUUCUUCAUUCCUCUCCGAUUCAUGCACAUGCACUAUUUCAUAAUAUUAUAAAGUGUUACUGAUAUUUAAAGNNNNNNNNNNNNNNNNNNNNNNNNNNNNNNNNNNNNNNNNNNNNNNNNNNNNNNNNNNNNNNNNNNNNNNNNNNNNNNNNNNNNNNNNNNNNNNNNNNNNNNNNNNNNNNNNNNNNNNNNNNNNNNNNNNNNNNNNNNNNNNNNNNNNNNNNNNNNNNNNNNNNNNNNNNNNNNNNNNNNNNNNNNNNNNNNNNNNNNNNNNNNNNNNNNNNNNNNNNNNNNNNNNNNNNNNNNNNNNNNNNNNNNNNNNNNNNNNNNNNNNNNNNNNNNNNNNNNNNNNNNNNNNNNNNNNNNNNNNNNNNNNNNNNNNNNNNNNNNNNNNNNNNNNNNNNNNNNNNNNNNNNNNNNNNNNNNNNNNNNNNNNNNNNNNNNNNNNNNNNNNNNNNNNNNNNNNNNNNNNNNNNNNNNNNNNNNNNNNNNNNNNNNNNNNNNNNNNNNNNNNNNNNNNNNNNNNNNNNNNNNNNNNNNNNNNNNNNNNNNNNNNNNNNNNNNNNNNNNNNNNNNNNNNNNNNNNNNNNNNNNNNNNNNNNNNGUACAACAGUGAAAAAAAUAACUGAGUCUAUGACAUAGUAUAAAUAAAAUGAUAAUCUACGAUAAACGCACUAAAGGGUUUAUGGUAGAUACCAUGAAUGCCCAGGGAAAUUCGAAUAGAGCAUAGGAUGCCUUUUGCUUCUCAUCAAAUACUCCCUUCUGCUUCUUCAGGUCACUUUUCUUCUCCAGAUAGUCCAUGGUCAGUUGAAAUGUCUCUUUCCUCCAUGAAUACUUCUCGAAGAAACUCAAAGAGUCAACCAUUCUAAUCAGUUUUGUGUCGACAACCUUCAUCGAAUCUUUCGCAAGCAACAUGGUGUGCAAGAACCACAGUAGACAAAACUUGAACUUCUGGUCCUCGUUCAGCUUAUUCCCUCUGAUCAGGUGUAACAAGUUGGCCGCCGUGAUGUUUUUAUUUUUUGUCACCUUAAAAUAAAAAUUGUCCCCCUUUGCUAACACCUUUUUCAUUUUUGAUUCACUGGGGUAUGAUGAGCAGUUCAGCCCCGUGAUCAAACAAAACUCUUUCAAACCAAAACAGGCAGGCUUGUUGUUAACGCAGAACCGCAUCUCAUGACGCAUCUUAUCGUUCUUAACGCGUCGCAACAACAAAUAAUGGACCAACUGCCCAUUGAACUUGAGAUGUUCCGGCAGGUUUCUCAGGUGUCCAAAACAGGACCGCUUGAAUCUUUUCUUCAAUUCUUGGUCGACAAGAAUUUGCUUAAAUUCUCGAUAAGUAGCUAUUCUUGAUCUGACCGAUAUCUUUUUCGAAAAAGAUCCGACCUCGUCAAUUAUCGUUCGAAGAUCAUACCGCUCCACGAAAAUGCACCUUGAAAGAUAUGGCACGGACAACGAAUCAUUAUCCCCAUCAUCACUAUUACUCCCACUUCUCUCGCACUCUUCACUGUCACCACUGACACUCCGCUUAGUAAUAUCUUCACUAGAAUCGACGUAGUCGCUUAUCUCCUUUAACUCUGAAUCUGAUUCGGACACCAACUCUUCAAUUUUCUUUCUUUUUGACACUUUUUCAACUGCCGCAGCUCUUCUUUUUCUACUACUACCAAUGGUAUCGUCUUUCUGUUUAGGAGUAACAUUUUUUCUACCCAUUUUCAACAUAGUCUACACCUAAAGAACAAAUCUCUCAUUUUCAGUUCAUAGACCACAAGUCUAUCAACAAAAAUAACUCAAUGAUCAAAUGAAACCCCCCUCCAAAAAAAAAUUAACAAACACCCCACCAUUAAACAGUUCACUACACAAACAUACAAUAAUUGAACCAAAAUCGAACAUGCAAAAUAUCAAAACACAACAAUUGCUAAAAAUCAAACUAGUGCACCUAAUCAAACUAAUUAGCUAUUAAUAUUUCAAUUUUCACUAUUUCAGCAAUCAUGUUUUAAAAGAAUUUCAUACGUCUGAAAAUUGAAAUAUAUCUAGGGCAUUCUCAUUUCAUAGACCACGGGUCCACGAAUAGACCGCGGGUCUACGGACAGAAACAGGACGCUGUUCAAAUCAAAAUGUCAAAAUAACUCUUCAAACAACAAUUAUACCACCAUUCAACACUUUGUUGCUAAAAAAAAAUACGAUUAAAUCAAAACACCAAAUUUGAAAAAAAAAAAAUCCUACAUCACUACCAAUCGAUUAGCAAAAAGAAAAACCAUUUAAAUGGAUCUAGAAAUGAUCAAAAAUCGAUUUUAACUAACCUUGUGAAGCAACAACGCCCCCUUAGCAGCUGCAGACGAAGAACGUACGAAAAUGACGUUUUUGGGAGAAGUUGUUUGAAAGCGGGAGUUGGGAUUUGAAGAGGAGAGAGAGAGCGUUUUUUUUUUUUUUGGAUAUUGGAAUAAGUGAAGGGGGUUAGGUGUAUUAUAUUAAAUUUGUAAAGUUGUAUAAAUGAUGAAUUGGUCUCUUGACCCACGUGUGGGCCCCACUUUUUCCACUUUUUAUAUCCUAAACCUAAAAAAUAAAUCAAAAAGAAUUAAGUGGGUAUUUGACAAAAUAAUUUUGCAAACGUUCUUCUUUGCCAAUUAUUCCCAAAUAACUAUGUAUUUAGUGAAUGGAAGUCACUUAUGUCAAGAGAGAUCAAAUAUACUAGUCAUUAAAAUUAAUUAAACAGCACUAGCUAGAUUAAUAUGCUUGUAAGCCCUACAAAUAACUAUAUCACAUAUAUGCUUGUAAGCCCUACAAAUAACUACAAAUAAUAUGCUUGUAUGUAUUUAGUGAAUGGCCACUUAAGACAAGAUCUAAUUGAGUAAUUAAAAUAAUUCAAAUAGAAGAGUUAGACAUAUUAUUUCACAUAUACAUUAAUUCUCUUAUAUUCUACUACUAUGCUCCCUAAAUGAAGACUAUUAAACUAAAGUUCAAUCUUUCUAAAAAGAAACUUUUAGUCAAGUUCUAUUUCCAAAGUAUAGAUUGCAUCAUUAUUUUAUAAACUGAUAUAUAUAUAUAUAUAUAUAUAUAAAUAUAUAUAUAUAUAUAUAUUUGUAAAAUCUAAAAACAAACACUAUUUAUUUUGGUUUGUUUCAAGCAUCAUCAUUUUGUUAUAUUUAGCCCAAACAUCAUAUUAUUUUGUUAUUGUGUGAUCACACAAAGAACAAGAUCUAAAAGAAGACAAAACAAAUUGGAUUAUUAUUAUUAUUACAUUCAUCAUAGAUAGUUUUUAUUGAAGUGUGUACAUGCAUGUGCUUAGCUUGUCUCAAUAGAACAGACAUGCAUGCACGUUGUGGAGGUACAUUUAUUUUCACAAGUUAUAUGUGUAUACAUCAAAAAUUUAUGAAUAUAUAUGUACGUACUAACAUGCUUAAAUUAAAAUCACACGAAGUGAAACAUUCAUAUAUAAUCAAUUUUAACUUGUUCAAAAUUGGAUCUGAUAGUAUAUAAGAAAAGUCUCUCUAUAGUGAUUUGUCUCCAAAAAAAAGUAAGACAUAAGUUUUGUGUAUAUAUUCUACCUUUUUUAGAUCUUACUUAUGCGAGACUAUACUGAUCAAUAUGUUGUUGUCAUUCGCUAGUCUACCUCUACGAUGUGGUCCAUAAUUAAAUACAAAAUGUGGCGCGGAAUUUGGAUUUCAAGUCAAUUGAGAUUUUUUUUUUAAUCCACUCUAUUUAUAUUAAGAGAAAUUAAUUUUCAAAAACAAACUAAACUACAAGUCUUCCUCGUGCCAAAUAAUUUUGCCCAUGGUAUAUUAUCUAGGAAAAAAACUUUUAAAAGUUGAAUUAUGAAAGCUCAAUUCUCCAUUUUUAGUUGCCCCAAGCUAAUAAAAAGCUGAAAAAAUAAAUAGGAAAACAAAAAGGGUCAAUAAAAACGGUUUUUUUCAUUUUAUGGAUAAGAAAUAAACGAGUGACAUAAUUAGAGGGGUAUAUAUAUAGUUGGCAUAGCUGUCUCCUAAUUUUUUUUAGACAUUUGGAAUUAUAUAUAUAAAAAAAAAGAAAAAAUUAAAUUUGAAUAAAUAUACAAGAUAUGUAUUUGCCUUGAUUUCUUUUUUUUUUUUUUUUGCUUUUUGGUUUCUUGCUUUUUGUAGUCUUGUGUUAAGAAAUUUUAGGAAAUACAAAGGAUGUCGUCUAAUCCUCAAUUGCAAAAGUAUUAUUAAAAAUAAUCUCUUUUAAAAUGUGUUAUGCUUGACCUCAUUUAUUACAUAAUAAUUUUCAAAAAAAUAAUUAAAUUAUAGCAAGUGGAAUUUAACCAGGAACGAAAUUACUUUUGUUUAAAGAAAGUCUACCGAUCCUUCUGUCGGAAUAUUAUCCUAUAUAGGUUGGUUAAUUUUUAAAAUUUGUAUAUAUGAUGUAAAUGUGGAAUAUAUCAUUUUUUUUUAAUUUCGACACUAAUAUCAUAAUGAAGAUGCUGAUUAUGCUAUUUAACUAUUUAAUUUGCAAGGUUUGAGCCUUCUAAGUUGCAAUAAAAUCAACCCUUGAAUUGGCCAUAAUUCCCAAAUGUUUAUUUGCUGCAAAAUAAUGGACCAAACGUACCAUGUAAAAAGACAUAUAUAUCAUAGUCAUAUUAUUCUCUGCAUUAAAACUAUAAUCAAUUGUCCACUCUAAGAAUACAUUUGUUCUUGUGAACCAAAAGAUAAGUUUUUUGAAAUGACUGAAAAAUGAAGAGAUAAUAUUAACAAAAAUAAAAAGCAGUUUCAAGAAGGAGAAGGGAAACAUCUACAAGAAAAUAAAAUAAUAAAUGAAACCAUAUAAUAAGUUUUAAAUAAAUAAAAUGGUUUAGGAAAUUAGCCCCACCCCCAUGUGACCUUGUGUCCUGACUUACUAGAGUCCAAAAAAUCCUCCACAAUUUUGGUGAAUACAUCAUUUUCCUAUGGAAAAAUAGAAAAGAACACACACACACCAAAAAAAAAAAUUAAAUGGAAACAUAAAGUUGUAAAAAGGAAAAAAAGAGACCAUGUGUUAGCUGCCAAUAUUAUCUCAAAUAAAAAUUAAAUGUAAGUGGACUUUUCACGUCGGUGCAUGGAAAUUGCAUGGAUGGAGACACAUGAGUGCUUGACUUGGUUCAUAGUUUUUUUUUUUUUGCUUAAUAUAUGAACAAAUGAUAAAAUAUUUUUAUUAAAUAUUAUAUAUAUAUAUAUUCAAAGUUUGAUUAUUAUUUUUUUGCUUUAAGGGGUCGAUCAUUACGUAAAUAAAUUAAAUAUUUAUAUAUAUAACCUUAUAAUACACAUCAGACUCAAUAAGCGAUAAAAGUGCAAGCAUAUUCUGAUUGAGAUUGAUAUGUAUAACUUAAAAAUAAGAAUUAAAAGUAACUAACAAAAAUAAUUUAUCGUCUAUUCAGGUAUUUAAUUAGACCAAAUCCUAAAAAUUAAAGGGUGAGGUAUUUUCGUUUUUGGGAAGUCUUAUAUGAAAGAG
rnacentral:lncRNA from 1 species